CAAUGGUAAAUUAAUUUAGACAUUAAGGUUUAGAGUUAAGGGGUGGGGUUUAGGAUUUAAGGUUUAGGAUUUAGGGUUUAGGGUUUAGAGUUAAGGGAUGGGGUUUAUGGUUUAGGGUUUAGAGUUAAGGGGUGGGGUUUAGGAUUUAGGGUUAUGGUUUAGGAUUUAGAGUUUAGGGUUUAGGGUUUAGAGUUUAGGGUUUAGGGUUUAGGUUUUAGGGUUUAGAGUUGGGGAGUGGAGUUUUGGGAUAAAAUUUCAAAUUUUGAAAAAUAAAAAAAAUUUAAAUUUUUUAAAAGAUAAAUUGCUAUUUUGGUCAUUUUAGUUUUUGAGGGCUAUUUUUGUGACAUAAAUUUAGAAAAGUGCUAUUUUAGAGAUUUUCCCUAUUUACUAUCAUUAAUAAACCGAUAAGCAUGAAUUCAAAUGUCGAUUCCAAGCUUAAAUCGAAUAAACCAAAACUACUUCAAAUUUGAAAGUCUAGCUGCGCUCAUCCGCCACACUAACGUAUUUGCUCCAAAAUCCUUAGAAUACCAUUUCUCAUUUUCUACCGUUGAUGUUUAUCACAGAAACGUGGCAUUCACCUCGUUGUCUUGGUUGCCAAUGAUUCUCGUGACAUCAUCGGAGUAGUAGGUCAUGGCGAUUUCUUCAAGCUCGCAAUCAACAUUGACAUUAUAGCUCUAGACACCGAUUGUCGGGAAAGAAGAAAGAUAGAACACCAGAGGGACCCAUCAAAGCCUUACACAACCAUCUAACUUGGAGAAAAAACCACAUGGAUCCGAGGAACAUAAGGAUGUAGGGGUAGGUAUUCAGAUUCGGUUCGGGUCUAUCCAGAUUUCUAAUUUUUAGGGGUUGAAGAUUUCAGCCUCAUUCUGGUAUUUAUAAAUUUUGAUUCGGGUUCGAUUUGGAUCUUUGCAGGCUUGGUUUGGAUUCGGAUAAUCCAUUUAAACUAUUUAAAUAAUUUUAAAAUUCAUAUAUAUUUUAAAAUUCUCAAAACCUAAAAAUUAAAAUAAUAUAUUACAUAUAAAUUGGAAUAAUGUACGCAAAAAUACCUAAACUUAACAUAUAAACUAGUUUGGCUUGAAUAUUUGGAUAGAUAAUCAAUAGAUAUUUAAAAUAAGUUUGGUGUUUUGAGUAUUGUUUAGAUAUUUUAGACUUGUACUUUUGACUAUCCCUCACCCGCAGCUCAAACUCCACGUCGUGAGUCACUCCGUGCCUCUCCAGCUUCUAUGAGUUUGUAUAUAUAUUCAAGUAUUUUGGACAAUUUUAAAAUAUCUUAUAUAUUUUUAAUAUUUUCUAUAUAUUAAAUCUAAAAAUAAUUAAUAUAUUAACGUAUAUAAACCACCCGCAAUACUUUGGUUCCGGUCGUGUUCAGUUUGGUUCUCUCUAGAUAUCAAAAUUUUGAACCAGUUAGAAUAUUUAACCAACUUUGGUUCGAUAUUACUUUUUGGAUCGGAUUCGGUUAGAUUCUUUGGAUUCAGAUUUUUUGCCCAACCCUACAAGGACGUCUAACACUCCGGACAAUAUGGGCUGCAAUGACGGUAGGAUACCAUAUAGUUCUAGUUAUUCACCACGGUAUGUUUUACUAGAUGAUCUAUAUAUUGAGUACCUUUUAUACUAAUAUAGGAGAAGUGUAGCUAUUAUUCUUUGAUAGCUCAAGGAUGUACACUAUGUUGGAGCCGGAUUUUACCCCGCUCCAUACCUGGUUUGAGAUCUCAAUCUGAAUACUGAAAAGUUCAAAAUUGAGCACUAUCAAGACCCGAUAAUGAAACAUAGGUCCGCGAAGGUCAAAGUCCACCCCAAGCUCAAAGAGUCUAACCCACCGAGCUCGGCAAGUCAACACAAAACGUAAAUGAAUCAAAGAAAUUAAAGCGUAUUUUGAUCCACACCGUAGAUCACACCAUUGUUACUGAUCCACCAGGAGGACCUAUAAAAGAAGAAGGACCAAAGAAAAGGGAGAGGAGAAUUCUCAUAUAGCUAAACUAUACUCUGUUGAUAUUUAUACUCCAUUGUUAUCAAGCACCCUAUGUACUCCUUAUCAAUCAUCAAUAAACAAUUUAUUUUCCAUAUUUUAUUUUAAUCUAGUAUUUCAUUUUAUCAAGUUUCAUUGUUCGUAAACUUUAAGACAUGGGGCAAGAGUAGUCCUGGGAAGCGGGUCGGAUCAGCCCCGCCAGACCCGCCCCGCCGCGAGUUGCCUCGUAAGAAAUACCCACAUAGCCCGCAAGAGUAGAAUUGGAUAACCGCACCCACCCCGCAACAAUGAUGCGGGUUACCCGCCAAUAAAGAAAAAAAUGCAAAAAAAAGCACAAAAAAUAGUCAAACGUAACAUACUACGUUAAGUUCAAGUUACACAUGUUAGCUCCAGUAAAGGAGCUGGUUCAAUGCAAAACAGAGCAUGUGCUAUAUGGCUCAUUCGGUAUGUGAGAUACCGGUUCAAAGUGGUUAUGAGUUGAUGACGUGGAGACAUCGACUUAGAAGAUCUUUGCUGUGGUGAUAAGCUUGAGAAGAUCUGCUGUUAGCGUAAUAUGAGGAGAAGAGAAUAUUAUGUAACAGAGUAUAUAACUGUGACGAGAUAGUAGAUCGAUGUUACGGUUUUUGUAGAUUGAAAAGAGCAAGUGUAAGAGGCUGUUCUACACUGGCUUGCGUUGUAACAAUUGGUGUAGUUCGAUCACCAGUUGAGUGGUUGGAUAGAUUAAGAAUUGGUCCGUAACAAGUCAGGGUUGACGUUGGAUAAGUCGGAUUAGACAGAUCUUCUAAGAUUGUCUAAAAGAUUCUUAAUAUAACAAGUUGUGUUCUUGAAAAGUGGUUCAGUUCUUAUACUUUGGUAUCCGUUUGAUCUUUCAUUUGGUAUCAGAGCGGGUCUCCUCUGUGGACUCAAGUAGUCUACUCACAGGUUGAGAUCCUGCGAUCAUCAUGGAAACCAUGAAAGAACUGGUUGCAUUGCAAAAACCGAUCAUGCUAGAUGAGGGGAACUUUGGACACUGGAAAGCUAGGAUGCGGCACAUCAUCAGAGGCAUUGACGAAGAUGCUUGGACUGCAGUCGAGGAAGGAUGGUCAGCACCUACCAUGAUCAUGGAUGAUAAGUCUAAAGAACCCUUACCCAAGGAGAGAUGGACAGACUCUGAUAAAGCUGCCUCAAAAUUUAACUCUAAAGCCCUCACCACAAUCUUCUCCGCUGUAGAUCUUGAUCAAUUCAAGAUAAUUCUAGGUUGUGAAUCUGCUAAGGAAGCAUGGGAUACUCUGAUCAAUCAUUUUGAAGGUAACACUAGCGUUAGACGUACCAGGAUUGAUCAUCUAGCCUCAAAAUUUGAAAACCUACGCAUGGAGGAUGAUGAAUCAAUUGGAAGCUUCAUUUCAAAGAUCAGCUCCAUAUCUAAUGAAGCAUCUGUGCUUGGCAAGAAGUACAAUGAAAAGAAACUUGUGAAGAAACUUCUGAGAUGUCUUCCAGCUCGAUUUGAAGCCUAUAAAGCUGUCCUGAAGAUUGCUGUCAACACUGACGAGAUGAAGUUCGAUCAACUAGCAGGGAUUCUGAAGGUACAUGAUCUUGAGCGAGUGGAAGAAAGUCCUAAAAGUCAGAAGGGAAUAGCUUUCUCAGCUGACACACAAGAAGUCGAUCGAGUCAAGCGAAUUGAGGACAACAUGGUCGUCAUGGCUAAGAAUUUCAACAAGAUGAUUAAGAGGGUUGAAAAAGGACAAAGCCGGUCAAACAACAGAUUCCAGAACAGAGACAGUGAACAAACCUCCAACCAGAAUUCAAGGAAUGAUUCAGGUCGAGGGAAUCGCAGGAAGGACCUACAAUGCCAUGAAUGUGAAGGUUAUGGUCACUAUCGCAAUGAAUGUCCUCUGACAAAGACAAAGGAGUUAAAAUGCAUUGAGUGCAAAGGAUAUGGUCACACCAGAAGUGAAUGCCCCAACAACCUUAAAAAGGACAAGUCCCUGAUCUGUUUCAGCGACACUGAGUCAGAAAGUGAUGAGGAUAACGAUGAAUUGCUCCUAAACUUUGUAGCAUUAGUCAGCAAGGACGACAAACCUGAAACCAUCUCAAGUUCAGAUUCGGAGUCAGAUACUGAACAAGAUGUGGACGAGGUAUCUACAGACAUCAAAACAGAAUAUUGAGUUUUAUUUGACAAAUUCACUGAAUUGAGUUUAGAGAAUCUAGAACUGAUCAAGGACAGAGCUAUGCUAAAGGCUCAAGUAAACAUUCUGGAGCUGGAACAACCUGAAACAAAAGUCAAUCAGAACUCGACUGAAUUAGUCGAAGAGAAAAAGAACGACCUGUCUGCCCUUGAGAAAACUAUCUCCUAUCAAGCUUACAAUCUGAAGAACCUGGAAAUCAGAUACGAUCAAACUCAACACUUACUGAGUGAGGAAAUGGAGAAGAGUCGGUUACUGCAACGAGAACUCAAUGACAACUACAAGAAUUUGAGAAUGCUCAAUACAGGCUCCAACACUCUGGACCGCAUUCUGAACCAAGGGCAGUCCCCUGCAAUCAACCGAGGCCUCGGAUAUCAAGGAACUACAUCACAGACUGAUGAUCACACAAAAGGCAUCAAAUUUGUGAAGAGCUCACAGCAUUCUGCACCAACUGAUCAUCAGGUAGUUGCACCAUCCAAAGCUGAUGGAAGAGAUCAAACUCAGAGAAAGGUAACUCCUCGACAGAAUGGAUGUCUGUUUUGUUGCAAACCAGGACACAAGGUUACAAACUGCUACUUUCGCAGACGUCAACAUCAACGGGCAUGGUCUCUGAACAAAUGUUUCCUUGAACCAACCAGAGUAGGAUGUGUGUGGAUAGCCAAGACCAAUCUUUAUCCAAACUAUGGAAACAGAGUUCCCCUUAAAAUCAACUCUGUAGAAGAAGGUGCCGAAGCACCAGUCAGUACUCAAAGGGAAGGCAAAGCCAUCAUGUGCAACUUAGCGUUCAUGCAAGACUGGGUCUCAACUGAAGAUGAAUCAAUGUCACAUUCAGACUGCGAUAUGUCACUCUCCAAUGAUGAAGACAGUAGCAAAGAACUCUCAUGCGUGUUCAAUUCAAGACCCACAGUGGCUGGAGUCGCUUAUACCUCAAUUGAUAACUCAGUGACUACUGAAGUUCCAUGGUACUUUGAUAGUGGUUGCUCAAGGCACAUGACCGGAACACUGAAUUGCUUGGAUAAAGUGGAAAACAUUAAAGGAGGAAAGGUCACAUUUGGUGAUGGUGGCUAUGGAAAAAUCCGAGGUGUUGGAAACACUAACAGAGCAGACUUACCUAAACUCAUAAACGUGUACUUUGUAGAUGGACUGAAAGCCAACCUCAUUAGUGUGAGUCAGCUCUGCGAUGAAGGACUUCAAGUCAUCUUUGAUAAGAAGGAGUGUCGUGCAGUUAACGAAAAGGGAACCAUAGUCUUGGUGGGGUUUCGAUCAGAAAACAACUGCUACAUGUGGAAACCUUCAAACCAAUGCAUGUCAGCUAAAGAGUCUCAAAGUGAUCUCUGGCACAAGAAACUAGGACACAUGAACACUAAUGGUCUAUCCAGACUGGUACACGCAGAGGUAGUAAGAGGAGUGCCUAUGCUCGAAGAUAUCUCAGACACCGUAUGUGGAGCUUGUUGCAAAGGUAAACAAAUCAAGGUUCAACACAAGCAGGUAUCUCAGAUUAACUCUAAACAAGUUUGUGAGCUCAUCCAUAUGGAUCUUAUGGGUCCGAUAACUCCUAACAGUGUUGCUGGAAAGCAAUACAUCUUUGUACUUGUUGAUGAUUUUUCCAGGUUCACUUGGGUUAGGUUCCUGAAACACAAGUCAGACGCAGUUGAGAGCUUUCGAAUUCUGGCGCUACAACUCAAACAAGAGAAGGGUGGCAUAGUACAAAUUCGAAGUGAUCAUGGAGGUGAGUUUCAGAACAAGGACUUUGACACAUUCUGCCAGAGUCAAGGCAUUCAACACCAGUAUGCUGCACCAAGGACUCCUCAACAAAAUGGGAUUGUAGAACGAAAAAAUCGAACCUUUCAAGAAAUGGCAAGAGCCAUGCUCGCUGGAAACAACGUUCCAUCUGGAUUCUGGGCUGAAGUUGUUAACACUGCGUGCUAUAUCAUCAAUAGAGUGUACGUGAAACCAAAGACGAAGACAACACCGUAUGAAAUCUUCAAGGGAAAGACUCCUAACCUGAGCUUCUGUCAUGUCUUUGGAUGCUUGUGUUACAUCUUGAAUGACAAAGACAACCUAGGCAAGUUCGAUAGCAAGAGUGACGUGGGAAUGUUUCUUGGGUACUCCACAAACAGCUCAGCCUUUCGUUUUUACAAUUCAAGGACUAAGCUGAUUGACGACAAAGUCAACGUGGUGUUUGAUGAUCGAAUGGGAUUUUAUCAGACUGAUGCAGCUCAAAGAAAUGUAUGUGUCACACCUGAUGCAGUAAGUGACAUCAAUCCCAUUACUGCAACAACACCCGACGAAACCCCUGAGAUUGACGACCAGAUCCUACCUUCCUCAGUUACGGUUCACAAAAAUCACUCUCCAGAUGAUGUCAUUGGAGGAGUACUCGAUGAUAGAGUAACUCGCAAGAAACAAAUUGACUUCAAGGGGAUGGUCAAACUCGCAUGCUUUCUGGUAGAGAUGGCGAGAACAGACUGCUUCAUCUCACAAAUUGAACCAAGGAACAUCCAAGAAGCAUUGGAUGAUGAAUUCUGGACCGCAUCAAUGCAUGAGGAAAUGGAUCAGUUCAUCAGACUUCAAGUCUGGGACUUAGUACCAAGGCCAACAGAUGCGAAUGUGAUUGGUACUAAAUGGCUGCACAAGAACAAAACUGAUGAGAAUGGGAAUGUUGUCAGAAACAAGUCAAGGCUAGUAGCACAGGGCUACUCUCAGAUUGAAGGCAUUGAUUUUGAUGAGACUUUCGCCCCUGUGGCACGACUCGAGGCCAUACGUCUAUUGUUCGGCAUUGCCUGCAAACUGAGGAUCAAGCUGUACCAAAUGGAUGUUAAAAGCGCUUUCCUAAAUGGAGUACUCCAGGAAGAAGUGUACGUAACACAGCCAAAAGGAUUUGAGGAUCCUCACUUCCCGGAUCAUGUGUACAAACUGAAAAAAGCACUCUAUGGCCUGAAGCAAGCUCCGAGGGCAUGGUAUGAGCGACUAACUCAAUUCCUGACCGAGACAGGUUUUAAAAGAGGAGGUGUUGACAAGACGUUGUUCAUCCAGGAAACAGACUCGCAUAUCCUGGUGAUCCAAGUCUACGUUGAUGACAUCAUAUUUGGGAGCACAUCCAAGUGCCUUGUCAAGGAGUUUGUGAAAACCAUGACUAAGGAAUUCGAGAUGAGCAUGGUAGGUGAGUUAACAUACUUUCUUGGUCUACAAAUCAAGCAAAUGGACGAUGGAAUAUUCGUGACUCAAAGCACCUACGCGAAAAAUCUGAUUAAACGGUUUGGCAUGGUAACCUGCAAGACUGCAAGGACACCUAUGAGCACGACCACCAAGCUCUCACGUGAUGAGGACGGCAGAAAAGUUGAUGAAAAGCUGUACAGAGCUAUGAUCGGUAGUCUUCUUUACCUCACUGCUAGUCGUCCUGACCUAUGCCUGAGCGUAGGGAUCUGUGCACGCUAUCAAGCCUCUCCGAAGGAAUCACACAUGAAUGCUGUAAAAUGAGUGAUCAAAUAUGUGAAAGGAACCCUGAACUUUGGUCUGCACUAUACCUUUGAAACUAACCUUAAUCUGGCAGGGUAUUGUGAUGCUGACUGGGCAGGGUGUGUAGAUGACAGAAGAAGCACAUCAGGAGGCUGCUUCUUUCUGGGUAACAACAUGGUCUCAUGGCACAACAAGAAACAGAACUGCGUCUCCCUGUCAACGGCUGAGGCUGAAUACAUAGCCUUAGGAAGCUGCUGCACUUAACUCCUGUGGAUGCGACAAAUGCUCAUUGACUACGGGUAUGUCUCCGACCCUAUGCUAGUUCACUGUGACAACAUGAGUGCCAUUAACUUGACUAAGAAUCCUGUGUAACACUCUCGCACAAAGCAUGUCGACCUCAGACACCACUUUGUGAGAGAGUUGGCAGAACUGAAACUUGUGAUCAUUGAACAUGUCUCAUCUGAAAAACAAUUAGCAGAUAUCUUCACUAAACCUCUCGACUUCAACACUUUUCUGGGACUCAGAAAGGCGUUGGGAAUUGUCGACCUAUAAUCACAUCACCCAUAAUGUUCUAGGGGGUAGAUAAGCUCAGGUAUAAGUAAGCUCACUUCAAGUCACCCGUCUCAAAACCUUGUAUCAACAAUUUGUUAGAAGUCAUAAUCUGAGCUGUUCUUAGCUGUCUUAGUCACGGGACUCUAAGGUGAAGGACACUCAUCUUGGAUCAGGAUACUAAAACAUUCUGUUCUGAGCACUGAUCACUAUCUGGAUUGAGUCAAGAAACACAGAAACGUCAGACAAAGUGUAACAUUCUAAAAUAACCGUGUGAAAGGCCUAAAAGGAAGAACACUCGUUCUGGACCAAGGUGUCACAACACUCUGUAUCUAAGACGAUCACUGUUCAGAUUAGGCAAAAUCAGAGAUUAGUGCGACAUUCAUCUUGGAUCAGGGUGCCACAACACUCUGCAUCUGUGAUGCUCUUUGCCCUACUAAGACUAUGAUUUUGGAAAAAGAAAAAAAAAGAGGGAAAAAGGCCUUAUAGGUUCCCAUUGUAGAAGCAGAGAUGGGAGCACAAUGCUGCGUGAAGUGUUUCUAAAGUGUGACAAAGCUAAGCGACUGAUCUAGUCUUCAGCAAAACUUCUAGUGAACUAAUAUGUGUCAGCUACUCGGCUGAGCAAGCUACAGAUUGGAGUUGAAUCAUUGCUUUUCAUUCGCUUAUUUUUGACUUGAGUGUGUCUGAACCUGUCUGAGCUAGCCGUANNNNNNNNNNNNNNNNNNNNNNNNNNNNNNNNNNNNNNNNNNNNNNNNNNNNNNNNNNNNNNNNNNNNNNNNNNNNNNNNNNNNNNNNNNNNNNNNNNNNNNNNNNNNNNNNNNNNNNNNNNNNNNNNNNNNNNNNNNNNNNNNNNNNNNNNNNNNNNNNNNNNNNNNNNNNNNNNNNNNNNNNNNNNNNNNNNNNNNNNNNNNNNNNNNNNNNNNNNNNNNNNNNNNNNNNNNNNNNNNNNNNNNNNNNNNNNNNNNNNNNNNNNNNNNNNNNNNNNNNNNNNNNNNNNNNNNNNNNNNNNNNNNNNNNNNNNNNNNNNNNNNNNNNNNNNNNNNNNNNNAAAGUGGAAUACAUCAAAGGAGGAAAGGUCACAUUUGGUGAUGGUGGCUAUGGAAAAAUCCGAGGUGUUGGAAACACUAACAGAGCAGACUUACCUAAACUCAUAAACGUGUACUUUGUGGAUGGACUGAAAGCCAACCUCAUUAGUGUGAGUCAGCUCUGCGAUGAAGGACUUCAAGUCAUCUUUGAUAAGAAGGAGUGUCGUGCAGUUAACGAAAAGGGAACCAUAGUCUUGGUGGGGUUUCGAUCAGAAAACAACUGCUACAUGUGGAAACCUUGAAACCAAUGCAUGUCAGCUAAAGAGUCUCAAAGUGAUCUCUGGCACAAGAAACUAGGACACAUGAACACUAAUGGUCUAUCCAGACUGGUACACGCAGAGGUAGUAAGAGGAGUGCCUAUGCUCGAAGAUAUCUCAGACACCGUAUGUGGAGCUUGUUGCAAAGGUAAACAAAUCAAGGUUCAACACAAGCAGGUAUCUCAGAUUAACUCUAAACAAGUUUGUGAGCUCAUCCAUAUGGAUCUUAUGGGUCCGAUAACUCCUAACACUGUUGCUCGAAAGCAAUACAUCUUUGUACUUGUUGAUGAUUUUUCCAGGUUCACUUGGGUUAGGUUCCUGAAACACAAGUCAGACGCAGUUGAGAGCUUUCGAAUUCUGGCGCUACAACUCAAACAAGAGAAGGGUGGCAUAGUACAAAUUCGAAGUGAUCAUGGAGGUGAGUUUCAGAACAAGGACUUUGACACAUUCUGCCAGAGUCAAGGCAUUCAACACCAGUAUGCUGCACCAAGGACUCCUCAACAAAAUGGGAUUGUAGAACGAAAAAAUCGAACCUUUCAAGAAAUGGCAAGAGCCAUGCUCGCUGGAAACAAUGUUCCAUCUGGAUUCUGGGCUGAAGUUGUUAACACUGCGUGCUAUAUCAUCAAUAGAGUGUACGUGAAACCAAAGACGAAGACAACACCGUAUGAAAUCUUCAAGGGAAAGACUCCUAACCUGAGCUUCUGUCAUGUCUUUGGAUGCUUGUGUUACAUCUUGAAUGACAAAGACAACCUAGGCAAGUUCGAUAGCAAGAGUGACGUGGGAAUGUUUCUUGGGUACUCCACAAACAGCUCAGCCUUUCGUUUUUACAAUUCAAGGACUAAGCUGAUUGACGACAAAGUCAACGUGGUGUUUGAUGAUCGAAUGGGAUUUUAUCAGACUGAUGCAGCUCAAAGAAAUGUAUGUGUCACACCUGAUGCAGUAAGUGACAUCAAUCCCAUUACUGCAACAACACCCGACGAAACCCCUGAGAUUGACGACCAGAUCCUACCUUCCUCAGUUACGGUUCACAAAAAUCACUCUCCAGAUGAUGUCAUUGGAGGAGUACUCGAUGAUAGAGUAACUCGCAAGAAACAAAUUGACUUCAAGGGGAUGGUCAAACUCGCAUGCUUUCUGGUAGAGAUGGCGAGAACAGACUGCUUCAUCUCACAAAUUGAACCAAGGAACAUUCAAGAAGCAUUGGAUGAUGAAUUCUGGACCGCAUCAAUGCAUGAGGAAAUGGAUCAGUUCAUCAGACUUCAAGUCUGGGACUUAGUACCAAGGCCAACAGAUGCGAAUGUGAUUGGUACUAAAUGGCUGCACAAGAACAAAACUGAUGAGAAUGGGAAUGUUGUCAGAAACAAGUCAAGGCUAGUAGCACAGGGCUACUCUCAGAUUGAAGGCAUUGAUUUUGAUGAGACUUUCGCCCCUGUGGCACGACUCGAGGCCAUACGUCUAUUGUUCGGCAUUGCCUGCAAACUGAGGAUCAAGCUGUACCAAAUGGAUGUUAAAAGCGCUUUCCUAAAUGGAGUACUCCAGGAAGAAGUGUACGUAACACAGCCAAAAGGAUUUGAGGAUCCUCACUUCCCGGAUCAUGUGUACAAACUGAAAAAAGCACUCUAUGGCCUGAAGCAAGCUCCGAGGGCAUGGUAUGAGCGACUAACUCAAUUCCUGACCGAGACAGGUUUUAAAAGAGGAGGUGUUGACAAGACGUUGUUCAUCCAGGAAACAGACUCGCAUAUCCUGGUGAUCCAAGUCUACGUUGAUGACAUCAUAUUUGGGAGCACAUCCAAGUGCCUUGUCAAGGAGUUUGUGAAAACCAUGACUAAGAAAUUCGAGAUGAGCAUGGUAGGUGAGUUAACAUACUUUCUUGGUCUACAAAUCAAGCAAAUGGACGAUGGAAUAUUCGUGACUCAAAGCACCUACGCGAAAAAUCUGAUUAAACGGUUUGGCAUGGUAACCUGCAAGACUGCAAGGACACCUAUGAGCACGACCACCAAGCUCUCACGUGAUGAGGACGGCAGAAAAGUUGAUGAAAAGCUGUACAGAGCUAUGAUCGGUAGUCUUCUUUACCUCACUGCUAGUCGUCCUGACCUAUGCCUGAGCGUAGGGAUCUGUGCACGCUAUCAAGCCUCUCCGAAGGAAUCACACAUGAAUGCUGUAAAAUGAGUGAUCAAAUAUGUGAAAGGAACCCUGAACUUUGGUCUGCACUAUACCUUUGAAACUAACCUUAAUCUGGCAGGGUAUUGUGAUGCUGACUGGGCAGGGUGUGUAGAUGACAGAAGAAGCACAUCAGGAGGCUGCUUCUUUCUGGGUAACAACAUGGUCUCAUGGCACAACAAGAAACAGAACUGCGUCUCCCUGUCAACGGCUGAGGCUGAAUACAUAGCCUUAGGAAGCUGCUGCACUUAACUCCUGUGGAUGCGACAAAUGCUCAUUGACUACGGGUAUGUCUCCGACCCUAUGCUAGUUCACUGUGACAACAUGAGUGCCAUUAACUUGACUAAGAAUCCUGUGUAACACUCUCGCACAAAGCAUGUCGACCUCAGACACCACUUUGUGAGAGAGUUGGCAGAACUGAAACUUGUGAUCAUUGAACAUGUCUCAUCUGAAAAACAAUUAGCAGAUAUCUUCACUAAACCUCUCGACUUCAACACUUUUCUGGGACUCAGAAAGGCGUUGGGAAUUGUCGACCUAUAAUCACAUCACCCAUAAUGUUCUAGGGGGUAGAUAAGCUCAGGUAUAAGUAAGCUCACUUCAAGUCACCCGUCUCAAAACCUUGUAUCAACAAUUUGUUAGAAGUCAUAAUCUGAGCUGUUCUUAGCUGUCUUAGUCACGGGACUCUAAGGUGAAGGACACUCAUCUUGGAUCAGGAUACUAAAACAUUCUGUUCUGAGCACUGAUCACUAUCUGGAUUGAGUCAAGAAACACAGAAACGUCAGACAAAGUGUAACAUUCUAAAAUAACCGUGUGAAAGGCCUAAAAGGAAGAACACUCGUUCUGGACCAAGGUGUCACAACACUCUGUAUCUAAGACGAUCACUGUUCAGAUUAGGCAAAAUCAGAGAUUAGUGCGACAUUCAUCUUGGAUCAGGGUGCCACAACACUCUGCAUCUGUGAUGCUCUUUGCCCUACUAAGACUAUGAUUUUGGAAAAAGAAAAAAAAAGAGGGAAAAAGGCCUUAUAGGUUCCCAUUGUAGAAGCAGAGAUGGGAGCACAAUGCUGCGUGAAGUGUUUCUAAAGUGUGACAAAGCUAAGCGACUGAUCUAGUCUUCAGCAAAACUUCUAGUGAACUAAUAUGUGUCAGCUACUCGGCUGAGCAAGCUACAGAUUGGAGUUGAAUCAUUGCUUUUCAUUCGCUUAUUUUUGACUUGAGUGUGUCUGAACCUGUCUGAGCUAGCCGUACCAAUUCCCAUAGGACAUUGAACGUCUGUAUAUAUAUUGUACUUGAUAAAUCCUCAACAAUCAUGUCUUGAUGAUCACAGGAACCAGUUCUUAUUACUCUCUACAUAUGUGUCUUGCUUAGAAGUGCAUUAGGAUUCCUUAGCGUAAAAGUGAAUAUUGGGCUCAAAUGUCAUUUGUGAAACAAGCUAAUGGGUCAGUGUGAUGGGCCAAAGCAAGCUGAAAGUGAAGCUACUUAACCACUAAGGGUUUUCAGCUGAUGUGCCACACUCCAAACCGUGAAACCCCAAAGCUCUCUCUCUCAUCCCAACGAGCAACAUGCAACCUCGGAGAAGCUCGCGAUUGAAACAAUCACUGGAGACUCAAAGCCCUCUGACAUCUUCGAUCAACCCAGAUUCGUCGUCUUGUCAGCGGAAGUACUCACGCAAACGUUUCCGCCGUCCCACGCCAGCUACUCCACCACCCCCGGAACCUGAGGUUGAAUCUCUCUCUGAGGACAACACAGAUGAUGACGAAUCUGACGCAUCUCUGGAAGAAGCUGCCUCUGACGAUCCUCAAGAUGAACAACCGGACGAGUUUCUUCCAAAAGGACCAAGAUACGAGGAGAGUCGCCAAGAGUUUCAGAUCCUGAUUCAAGCCAACCCUGCGCUUCUCCGACCGUCCAGGGCACCAAUCAACUCUCGCUUUGCUACGGUGGAAGCGACUGAUAGGUAUCGAGAUUUGAAGAACAUGAAGUUUCUUGUUCAGUAUCGUCUCCCCUUAGACGAAGAGAAUCUUCAAGAUGUCAAGAAGGUGAUUGUGGACUCAGGGCUGAUUUACACGGUCAUUGACUCUGACCCCUUCAAACCAUGCGUGAUAAGACAGUUCAUCGCAAAUCUGGUGGAUGCCGAGCCUCGAGGAGAUGGAGUUGCAGUCUAUGUUAAAGGCUCACUUAUUAACUCCUCUCCAAGCCUGAUCAACUCUCUGUAUCUCAUUCCAUCAUGUGAGGAGGAUCCUGACUGGUCAACCUAUAACAUGGAUCGAGUGUGUACGUUUCUGACAAGCAAGCGAAUCCGGCGCUGGGAAGAUAUGAGCUCCAAGUUUCUCACUGCCACAAAUCAAGUGUUGUACAAAAUUGUUUGUGCUAACUGGAUUCCAACCACAAGCUACACAGCCAUGAACCCAGAACGUCUUCGAUUCAUCUACAUGCUCUACCAUGACCGCAAGUUCGACUUCGGAAAGCUUGUCUAUAACCAGAUCAUGGCAAUGGCUGAGAACACGAGAACCGAACGCACUCGAAGAAUCAUCUUCCCCAACCUAAUUCAGCAGGUGUUGCUUUUCCAACGUAACGUUCCUCCGGACUCUGAUGAUGAGGAAUUCACUGGCAUGCCAAAGAAAGUAGUCAAAGACAAGAAGGCAGGCUUAGGGUCUGGAGCCGAGUCUAGAUCACCUAACCUUGAAGAAGACAUUGAGCAUGCUAUAGCUGGUCUCAAGGCCAUCAGAAUGCGUCUUAGGAGUAAGAUGAUCUUGAGGAGUUGGAAUAACUAAUGUUGCAUCAGUACUAAUGUGAUUUUUAUCUUAAUGUGCAUCUAUGCAGGGGGAGAAUACCCACAUCAGCAGCAGAAUGAAGACAGUGAUGGUGGAAGUGACUGAGGGAACGUUAUAUGUAGUCGAUUCAUCUAUAGGCUCAAAUUUUCAUAUGUUAGAUUUGUCUCAUAAUUGAUCGGGAGACAAUGAGCUUAUUGGAUGUAUUUUGGUGUUUAGGGUGAACUUCUCGAUUAUGGUUUUAAGUUGUGUUCCAGGUUGUGUGAUAUUCUAGGGUUGUAUCAAAGGCUAUUAUCCGGAUUGAAUUCAUGUUUUGAAUGGAUUGUUGGGUCUAUUAUUCAACCUUAGCAUAUCCCCUGUCAACAGUGGUUUUGCAGGUAGCAUAGCGUGUCACAUUUAGAUAAAAAGGGGGAGAAUGUUAGCUCCAGGAAAGGAGCUGGUUCAAUGCAAAACAGAGCAUGUGCUACAUGGCUCAUUCGGUAUGUGAGAUACCGGUUCAAAGUGGUUAUGAGUUGAUGACGUGGAGACAUCGACUUAGAAGAUCUUUGCUGUGGUGAUAAGCUUGAGAAGAUCUGCUGUUAGCGUAAUAUGAGGAGAAGAGAAUAUUAUGUAACAGAGUAUAUAACUGUGACGAGAUAGUAGAUCGAUGUUACGGUUUUUGUAGAUUGAAAAGAGCAAGUGUAAGAGGCUGUUCUACACUGGCUUACGUUGUAAUAAUUGGUGUAGUUCGAUCACCAGUGUGGUUGGAUAGAUUAAGAAUUGGUCCGUAACAAGUCAGGGUUGACGUUGGAUAAGUCGGAUUAGACAGAUCUUCUAAGAUUGUCUAAAAGAUUCUUAAUAUAACAAGUUGUGUUCUUGAAAAGUGGUUCAGUUCUUAUACUUUGGUAUCCGUUUGAUCUUUCAACACACCUGUUUGAUUCAACGCAACAAACAUAUUACCUAAGUUUAGGUUUCAGAAAAUAUCCCACAAAAUAUCAAACAGAACCAUACAUAAGUUUCUGGCCAAACUGAAACAAAUUAAAAACAAAUUACAAGGUCUUCUUGCUUCUUCUCGUCGACCUGGGGUUUGUCACUUCACCAGUUCACCUAAAUGGGCAAUAUAAAAAUAAUCAGCAGAAGACUACAAUGAAACACUAACACUACAAAACACUAAAAGCAAAUUACAAAGUCUUACAGCAAUUGUUGUUUCCUCUACACAAAGAAACGAUUGACAAACAAUUAAAAGUUUUAAUGAUCACUUACUAUGUUGAUACAAAUGACUCAAAGGAAGGCAAAGUUUCAUCUUCACAAAUGUAUUCAGCAACUUCAGUAUCUGUCCAACAAUAAGAGUACAUAUUAACUACUAUAAUAAUGAAUGAAAAAACAAAACAGUGACUUACCAUUGUCAUAUGGCUCAAAACCUUUAAGCCAAUUUCGAGCAGAUAUCAAGGCUUGAACGUUUUGUGGGAGAAGACAGCUUCGGUACUUGUUUAAAACCCGUGAGCCUAUGCUGAAGGAGGACUCAGAUGCAAAUGUGGUUAUAGGAUGCUGAGAAGAUCUGAAGCCAUUAUAGCUAACUCUCCAAAGCGAUGAGAAUUGUUUUUCCAAUAAGCCAAGACAUCUAAGCUUGCAAAGAUCUUCAUGUCCACUACUGGCUCUUCCAAAUACAUAUCCAAUGCAGAUUUUCCACUAGCAUUCACAUUCUUCUUGCGAAAAUUGUGGAAAUCCUUCAUAAACAAAAAACAAGCGAUGUGUAAGAAAAACAUAUUUUCAAGUCAGUAAUAUAACUAUGAGUAUAGAAAGAUGCUUACAUCAUAGGGAGAGCUACUGGAUGACUCAACUCCAGCCACUAUAUCUUCACUGGUCGAUAUAGAACUUUGGGCUCCUGCCUUAGAAUAGGCUGUGAAAAGCUGUUUCAGUUUUGCAUGCACAUGAUCCACCUUUUGUUGACAAGUAGUCUCAUCCAGCUUUGAGAAACAAUACUCCAAGAGUGAUAGCUUGAACCUAGGAUCAAAAACUGCUGCCAUUGCAAGGAUCUCACUGUACUCAUGCCAAUACUUAUCAAACUUAGUCUUCAUUGCCUUAAACAUCUCGUAAAUUACAACUUCUCCACUGUUCUCAUGUGAUUUCAGCCAAUAUUCAAUCGUGUACACUUGCAUAAAGUAGAGGUUGGAGGUAGGAUAAGUAGAACCAGAUAUCAAAUUGGUUAUCUCAUCAAAAGGCUGAAGCAGUUCACAGAUUUGAGUUCCCAAAUCCCACUCGGCUGAUGUAGGCAGAAGCUUGUAGUUUGGAUCCAUGCCUUGGUAACUAUCAAAUGCCAAACGAUAUCUGAUAGCUCUUUCAAGCAUUUUAAAGGUUGAAUUCCAGCGAGUUGGAACAACUAGAGUCAAACCAGCCCUCUGAUCAACUCUAGCAGACUCUGCACAGCUUGCAAACAGCUUACGUCGGCCCUCAGAAGCUUGAACAUACUUGAUGCUCUCUCUGAUUUUUCCUAAAGCAUCACCCAUCACCUUAAGCCCUUCUUGGACAAUCAGAUUCAGAAUGUGGGCAGAGCAUCUUACAUGGAAGAACUCGCCGUCACAUACUAAAUCGUUUUGUAUAACAAGCUGCUUCUUCAAGAUGUGUUGCAUGUUGUCGUUGUUACUUGCAUUAUCUAGAGUCAAGGAGAACACUUUCUUCUCAAUAUUCCCCCAUUCUUUCCACACUUCUAUCAUUUUCAUAGCCAAAUCUAUCCCAGAAUGAGGAGGCGGCAGAGCACAAAAACACUAUAUCUUGUUUCUCAACUUCCAAUGUCUGUCCACAUAAUGUGCAGUCAAACACAUAUACCCUUCCACAGUAAUGGCUGUCCAGAGAUCAGAUGUGAAGGAGAUUCUACCAUGAAUCUGAGAUAACUGUACUUUCAACUUUGCCUUUGCCUGCUCAUAAAACGUGUAAACAUCUGCAGCAGCUGUUUUUCUCGUUAUAAAGUUUUAGGAUUUCUGGGACCCUAAAAAUUUAUUUCAUGGUAGUUGAUUUCUGGGUCUCAGGUUCAUGGUAGAUUAAAAAGAAAAAGAUUUAAACUUGUAAACAUCUACCAUGAAUCUGAGACCCUAAAGACUUUGUGAAAGCAGUUUCUGACCUUGGAUUUAGUUCCUCAUUAAAGGUUAAAUCUUUUUCUUUUUAAUCUCUUUACUCUUCUUUUCUUGAAGUUUUACUAUAGAAAAAGAAACCCAUUUGGUUCUUUGUGCAGGACUUCUCGAAUAAGAUGUUCAUCUUGUUGCAUUUUAAGAAAAAGGUUAGGUAAAGAUAUUUCAUGUAUUUAUUUUUGGUUACUCUCUGAGCUUGUUAUGUACUUCAGUUAUAACAUUUUUUUUUUAAUCUUGUGGUUUAUAUAGGAGCAGCUGAAUUCAAAUAAGAAGAAAAUAGAGUGGCCCGAGUUGAAAGCAUGUUUAUAUAAACGUCGAUAACAUUGGUUUUCUAUCAUGGAAGAUCACACAAGAGCAUGUAUUAUUUAAGCAUUAUUUAUUUUUCUUAAAACGCUCAGACUUUCAUCUUUGUUUACGAAAUUUUGUAAGAGAGAAUCAAUCACAUUGGUCUUUGAGUAGAAAAUGUUAUAGAAUUUUUGUUACACGCAACUGGUUUUCCUUUUGACAUAGUAAUAAGUGUCAUUUUCAUCAUUCCGAUUUUGUGCUUUGGUUUUGUUUCUUGAUCUUUGUGUUUAUUGCCAAAGAAGAAUGGUUUUGUUUCUUGAUCUUUGUGUUUAUUGCCAAAGAAGAAGAAGCUAAAAGAGUGAUUCAAUCAAUGUCUUUAUAUAGUCAAAUGAAUCUGUUAUCUGUAUGCAAAUGGUGCUAUUGAUAUGAGAAUGAACAAGGUUCAGUAUUUUCUUAAAAAUAUUUAUUUGAGCCGAGGCACCCGUAUAUUAAUUUUAUGGCUGGAACUUGCUCACUGAUGGCUGUUAGAGAUGGAGAUCAGGUUAAUACAGACGAAAACUCGCUGGAGAAAAAAGUAGAGGAAGCUUCUUCUUCUUCUGCUGCUAGUUUAGAUGAUGAUUGUUUUAUUGGUUAUAAAGGGAAAUGAGAGAGACCGGCUUGAAACAUGUUAACAAAACAUGUGAAAGAUACAACACCAACAGCAUUCAUGAUCUCAUACCAACCAUAAAUUAGAUUGUAUCCUAACAGCAGACUUGACCAAAAGCAGGAAAGAUUAGAGUUUGCUCCUAUUAACUCUUUCGAGAAAACUUGACUUUGACUUUGCACUUGGUGGAAGCUCUGGGAAUCAUUAGCAGAUCCGCCAUGAUUUUCAGCUUUGCGUCACUUGAUGCUGCCUUAGCACGAACCUCCACCAGCUCGAGACAUGAUAACUUUCCCAAGAAAUGCUCCAUUUGCCCCAGCACGUUGACAGAACCAUCGUAACAGUUUAUCUUUAGCACCUCCACCGGACAAGACAAUAGGAAAGAAUAUCCUGACACGCACUCGCAGACCACUUCAUCUGUUCGAAAAUAUUCGUAAUGAAGUGAAUCCUAAAACAAAUAAAGAAAUAUUACAACUGAGAUUCAAGAUUUUCAAAUAGCAAAUAAGUGAUAACUGUUGUCAUAUAUAUACCUACCUCGAUGAUGAGAGUCUUAAGAUUUGGAAAUUUCAUCAUCAGAUUUGGUACAGAAUACCAACAGACGUUAGAAAGUGCAAGAGAUAACUGAGACACCUUUUCAAACAUUGGGGCUGUUUCAUUGAACACACCAAACAUCUGACACAUUAAACACAAAAAAAGGUCAAAUCUCCAAAAUAAUACAUUUCUAAGUUUAUGUCACAAAAAUAGCCUUCAAAAACUAAAAUGACCAGAAUAGCAUUUUAUCUUUUAAAAAAUUUAAUUUUUUUUUAUUUUUCAAAAUUUGAAAUCUUAUCCCAAAACCCCACUCGCCAACUCUAAACCUUAAAACCUAAACUCUAAACCCUAAACCCUAAACUCUAAACCUUAAAUCCUAAACUCCACCCCUUAACCUUAAACCCUAAUGUCUAAAUUAAUUUACUGCUAUUUUGGUCAUUUUUAUUCUUAAAUGCUAUAUUCGUGACAAAAACUUUUUUAGUGCUAUCCUAGUCAUUUUCUCAAAAAAAAAAUCCAUCAAUCAACAAGAUUAUGACUAAUACAAAACAUAUCUUAGAGAUAGAGAGCACAGUUUACCUCCACAGCUUCAAAAGUUAAGUUCAAAAUCUCAACGUUUUUAAAACCAAUAAUGAGAUUAAUGGGAUUGAAAGUGUUUGCAUGCUCUUCUUGCCAGACAGCUUCCUCAUCCGCACAAAGAUUGAGAUUAGCUUCAACAAGUGAGUCGAGAUUAACAGUUGGAUACUCCUUAGGAACAUAGUCAGAAUAGUCUAAGUAGGUUAGAGCAGGAGUAUCAAAGCUAAUGCUGUCAAACUCAUAAGCAAGGCCCCGAGGAUCAUCUAUUAUACCCUCCUCAUAGUAAGCCUUUGAUCAGGGUGGUACUAGAGACGGUGCAGCACCAUUUCCAGCGUUCCCACUCGUUACCAUUCAUCACUAACUCUUGGAGAACAGGGGAAACAGAAAGAAGCGUUUUAAACGUGCAGCGGCCAUCAUCAACACCAAAGAACCGAACAGAGUCAAGAAAGAGAGACUUGAGAGCUGGAAGAAAAACACCCGCAGGGAGAGCUUCAAUCAACAAACCAGACCCUAGUUUCAUAGUGGAAACUGUCUUGCAGGCAAAAACAUGACAAGGCAGUGAAUAGUGUUCUUCUCUAUCAACUUCGAUAUGGAGUUGAAGAACAAGAAGACCACAUGACGGAGACAACGAUUGAUAAGAUCUUCGUACUGCGCUUCAUGUUUACAUUUGAGUGAAAAUUUGCGGACACGAGAGCUGACAGGUAGAGCCAAUACUAGAUCCACAAAAUCCUUGAAACCUACAAGUGAGCGACCAUUGAAACGAAGCUUCGAUAUGAUGGUAAACAGAUUACGCCAACGUUUUGAGAGAAGAGUAGCGAAAGCAGCAUUCCUUUGCCGAGAGAAAGGAGCCAAUGUGGUGAAUUAUAUCAUCUGGUAGAUUACUGAUUCUAUCCAUUCACCACUGAGAAGAAGAACAAAGUCUAGACCCUCAAAUCAAGCACAAACUAGAUUACCUUAAUCAGAAAGGCAUAGAAUAGGGCUCUUCAAUAUGGUAAAACCGAACCGUACCGAAUCGAACCGAACCGAAAUAGCCAAUAUAGUUUGGUUUUGGUAUAUACCAUAUAAACCGAAUGGAUAUAUUUUUUUAUAAAAACCGUAGGAUUUGGAUAUGGUUUGGUAUAUAACCAAUUAAACCGAAUAAACCGAACAAAACCGAUUAAAAGUAGAAACAUGUAAAUAUGUAUCUAUUUUAUAACAAUACAUGAAAAUCUAUUUGUUACAUAAGUUAAAUUUGUGUUAAUAACUAUUACCAUAAUUUUAUAGUAAUAAAGAACCUUAAUUUGUAAAACACUUGAACUAUAGUUAAAUAGCAAUACAUCGCAAUUCAGACAUUUUAUUUUCUAAGUCUUCUUUUGAUCUUUUUGCUUUAUUUUAGUCUUCACUAAAUUAAUAUGAAGAUUAUAAAUUUAAUGGACAAUAAUUAAUGAAAAAUUUUCACAACUUUUUUUUUAUCUGUAAACAAACAGAAUUUCGUGUUCGAUUGAAAAAGCAUGACUUUAAUGAACACUAAAUAUGGAAGAGUGGAAAAACUUUUCUUUCAUGUUUCUGUUUUGUUUCAUAUUUUUAUUUUCAAAAUUUGAAGCUUUGAUUUUAGUUAUAGAUUUGAUUAUUUUAUUUGAUGGUAGAAGCAUUUUUACUUUUUUGUUCAUUUAUUUGAACAUGUAAUAUAUUUUUAAUAAAUGACUGUGUUGACAAUAUGACUCUAAAAUUCAUAUAAUAUGAUCUCAAACUAAAUAAUUAUGUUUUUUUGGUAUAAAACCGAAUAAACCGAAAACCGACGAUAUAUAAACCGAACCGAACCGAAGUAAAUAUGAAUUUAAAAUGGUAGUUAUAUUUUACUAACCGAAAUACCGAAAACCGAAAAAAACCGAACUGAUAUCCGGAUUGAACACCCCUAGCAUAGAAGAAUAAGAAUCGGUGAAUCGCAAUACCUUAACGAAACGCAGGUUUCCAUCUUCCAAGAGAAUUUGUGCAAUCUUCAAAACCCUCGAAAUGUAUCAGUUUCGUUUCGUUUGAUAAAAAAGAUAAAAGAAUUAACCUUUAUAAUAACAAAAUGGAAAUUCUCGCCGUUCCCGGAUAUCGAACCCGGGUUAACCGGUGACAGGCGGGAAUACUGACCACUGUACUACAACGACUUCGUUGUUGAUUAAAACCAAAAGCGUUUUGUUUUCUAAAGGUUAGACCGGGCUAAACCAAUCCUAUAGAUAUAAAAUUGAGUGGGUAAUUCGAAUUCGUUUCUGAAACACACAACUUCUUCACCAAUCUUCUUCCGUCUUUAAGCUUCAUCAAUCUGAAUCCUAAGCUCUCUCUCUCUCUUCAAAACCAACACCUUUGAUUCUUACAUUCCCUCACAUUCGUUUCUUAUGAAACUUCAUUUCGUCUGCUCAAGAAGAACACGUGCUGCCUCUUUACAUCAGCUCCGCUUCCUCCAAACACCUCGCAUCGAUGCUCGCAUCAUCAAAACCGGGUUCAACACAGACACUUGUCGUUCCAAUUUCAUCCUCGAGGACUUUCUCCGUAGAGGUCAAGUUUCCGCUGCACGCAAGGUGUACGACGAAAUGCCUCACAAGAACACCGUCUCCACGAACACCAUGAUCUCCGGCUACGUCAAGUCCGGUGAAGUUUCCUCCGCUAGAGAUCUCUUUGACGCCAUGGUGGAUCGAACUGUGGUCACUUGGACUAUCUUGAUGGGUCUGUACGCUGGUAACAACAGGUUCGACGAAGCCUUCGAGCUUUUCCGACAGAUGUGCAGGUCUUGUACCUUGCCUGAUCAUGUCACCUUCGCCACGCUUUUACCAGGGUGCGACGACGCGGUUGCUGUGGCGCAAGUUCAUGCCUUCGCCGUCAAGUUAGGGUUUGAUAGGAACCCUUUUCUCACUGUUUGCAAUGUCUUUGUUAAGUCUUAUUGCGAGAUAGGGAGGCGUGAUUUGGCGCGUGUGGUGUUUGAGCAGAUUACGGAGAAGGACUCUGUCACGUUCAACACGCUUAUUACAGGGUACGAGAAGGAUGGUUUGUACAUUGAGGCGGUUCGUCUCUUUGUCGAAAUGCAGCAGUUGGGUCACAAGCCUUCGGAUUUCACGUUUUCUGGUGUUCUCAAGGCCGUUGUUGGGCUUCAUGAUUAUGUUCUUGGUCAGCAACUCCAUGGUUUAGCGGUUUCUACUGGAUUCUCCAGGGAUGUGGCUGUUGGGAAUCAGAUUCUUGAUUUCUACUCGAAGCAUGAUUGUGUUGUAGAGACUAGGAAGCUUUUCAACGAGAUGCCUGAGUUGGAUUUUGUUUCUUACAAUGUGGUCAUCUCAGGGUAUUCACAGGCUGAGCAAUACGAGGAAUCCUUGGGACUGUUCAGAGAGAUGCAGUCCAUGGGGUUUGAUCGGAGAAACUACCCUUUCGCGACGGUGCUGAGCAUCGCAGCUAACUUGUCAUCGUUGCAUAUUGGCAGACAGGUGCACUGCCAGGCCAUCGUGGCGACUGCUGAUUCGAUCCCGCAUGUCGGAAACUCUUUAGUGGAUAUGUACGCGAAGUGUGAGAUGUUUGAGGAAGCUGAGUUGAUAUUCGAGAGUCUAUCACAACAGAGCACUGUUUCAUGGACUGCGUUGAUCUCAGGUUAUGUUCAGAAAGGGCUUCAUGGAGAUGGUCUUAAACUGUUCACCAAGAUGCGAGGAGCGAAUCUACGAGCAGACCAGUCCACUUUCGCUACUGUACUGAGAGCUUCGGCUGGUUUCGCUUCUUUGUCUCUGGGGAGGCAGCUCCACGGGUUCAUAAUAAGGUCAGGAAACUCAGAGAACGUCUUCUCCGGUUCUGGACUUGUUGAUAUGUACGCCAAGUGUGGUUCUAUCAAAGACGCGGUUCAAGUGUUCCAAGAGAUGCCUGAUAGGAAUGGAGUUUCUUGGAAUGCUUUGAUCUCAGCUUACGCUGACAACGGAGAUGGAGAAGCAGCGAUUGGUGCGUUUGAUAGGAUGAUUCACUCAGGUCUCCAGCCAGAUUCAGUCAGCAUCUUGAGCGUCUUGACUGCAUGUAGUCACUCUGGAUUCGUUGAACAAGGAACCGAAUAUUUCGAGGCAAUGUCUCGGGUCUACGGGAUCACUCCAGGAAGGAAACAUUACGCCUGCAUGCUGGAUCUGCUGUGCAGGAACGGGAGAUUUGAAGAAGCAGAGAAGCUGAUGGAGGAAAUGCCCUUUGAGCCAGAUGAGAUAAUGUGGUCAUCAGUGUUGAACGCAUGCCGGAUUCACAAGAAUCAGAGCCUUGCUGAGAGAGCAGCAGAGAAGCUCUUUAGUAUGGAGAAGCUCAGGGACGCUGCUGCUUAUGUAAGCAUGUCAAAUAUCUAUGCUACAGCAGGAGAAUGGGAAAAUGUUAGUCUUGUCAAGAAAGCUAUGCGUGAACGUGGAAUCAAGAAAGUUACUGCGUCUAGCUGGGUUGAAGUGAACCACAAGAUCCACGACUUCUCAUCAAAUGACCAGAGACACCCGAGGGGAGAUGAGAUUGUGAGAAAGAUCGAUGAACUGACAGCCGAGAUUGAAAGACUAGGGUACAAGCCUGACACGAGUUGUGUAGGACAAGACGUAGAUGAGCAGAUGAAGAUCGAAUCGCUUAAGUUCCACAGUGAGCGUUUAGCCGUUGCGUUUGCUCUUAUCAGUACACCAGAAGGGUCUCCGAUCCUUGUGAUGAAGAACUUGAGAGCCUGCAGGGAUUGCCACGCUGCUAUAAAACUGAUAUCGAAGGUUGUAAAGAGGGAGAUAACUAUAAGGGACUCAAGAAGAUUCCAUCACUUUAGAGAUGGGCUCUGUUCUUGUGGGGAUUACUGGUGAAACCUCAAGUUUUGACUCAGAGAACAAAUGUAAAAACAUUGGAAUCUUUCUUCUGAUGUAUGAAGUGAAUUUUUAGACUUAAACCGUGUCGAGUUACAAUGUAAUUUGAAUUGGUUUUCUUUUUCAGUUCGGUUCAGUUCCGGUUUAAGUGAAGUAGUUACGCUUCUAUGCUUUUGCUGAACCGUAGACGAGCGAGCGAGCAAUUGGAUCCAGAGAGGAGGAAGAAUGAAGAAGGCGGAAGGAGGGGCGGAGAAUCUGCUUGGCUCACCUACUUUCGUGGAUCUAGGAAACGGACGGCUCAGAUGCGCGGAGACUGGUCACGAAGUUGUUGCCGGAGACGAAGAAGCAUACGCUCGUAACAAACGGUGUCGUCUGGGACUCAUCGAUCACGCUCUAUCUCAUGGGAAAUCUCCUCUCAACAUGUUCUCCCAGUGCCUAAUUUCUCGGUUAGCCCAAGAUUGAAACCUUUGUAGUUGGAUUAUGUUAGCUUAAGUUGUCUAUAGGUUAGUUUUUUUCUUUUUCUUGAAACCGUUGAGGACCAUUGGUUUGCUUGUUUAAGUUGUGUAUUUAGUGCCAGUGCAUCGUUAUGUUUAAAAGUCUUCAAGCUUUUAAGUUAUAUCCUCAGCAUAAAAGUAUGGCUAAAGUAUUUACCUUUCUUCUUGUUUUUUUGGCUAUGUUCUUAGUUCGAAGCUCGUGUGCAAGCUUACAGGGGAUACUGUGAACAAGAACGAGCAACAUAUCUGGAAACACGUGAAUGGGAAGAGAUUUCUACACAGAUUAGGUCAAUGAACAUCAGAUAUUGACUGAUUCUAAUUUUGUUAUUCCUGGCUUUUACUUAAUGUUUUCGUGUUGAUGUAUCUGAUAGAGCAAGUGGAAAGAGGAGCUGGAACAAGCGGAAAGACCGAGAAAAUACAAGUAACCUACAAACAUAGACGCCUUAAGGAAGAUACUGAUUCCGAUGAUUCAGAGUUUUGGAUGCUUAAUUCAAGUUCUGGUUCAGAGUCAGAGCAGGAAAGUGAUGAAGAAAACUGCAAAGGUGCCUCUUUUUGUUGUUUUUUUUUGUUGGUUCUACUUUCAUCUUCGUAUCGGAACUUCAACUAGAUUUGCAUCUCGUUUUGGUACAGAUUCUCAUUGUGAUGCCAAAGAAUCCGAGGAGCUCUCGGAAAGGUAAAUGUAUACACUUACUCUUAUUUCUGUGUAUUAUAUAUAUUCAAAAAAUUGCGGAUUGGUUUUGUUGUUCACCUCUAGUUGUUUUGUCUCUUCAACAGAACAAAGAGAAUGUCAAUAGAGAUUGGACCAAGUAGCUUUGCUUCGAGGAAGAAAAAGAUUAGGAAUAGUAAUGAGUCAUGUUAAGAAAAGAUUUGUUGCAAUAAGUAGAUACAGUUUUGUUUACAAAAUAAAAUAAAAAAGAAGCCUUUAUCGGAUGAUGUUUGGUGCAUGUAGUGAAUCUUCCCACCGUUUUAAUCAGCCACAAUGGGCCCUUCAGUUGCUCGUGUAUCACACACACCAUCCUACAGAAACAUAUAUAUAUAUAUAUAUAUAUAUAUAUAUACCAGAACCGUAUAUCUGAAAGAGGAACAUCAAGAAACAACACAGGCCUGCACGCAGACAUCAUCUCAUAAGUUAUGAAAUGGUAUGCAUAGAGAGGCAAAGAGCUAGUAAGAAGGAACAACAAUCCACCUGAAGCUUAAAUGGAGAAGAGAAGCUGAGAUGUUGUAUAUUAAAGACCAACAAUUAAACGUUUUCUCUUUGUGGUAUAUCAAAGAUUAAGCGCCUUAAAGCUUCUUGUUUAACUAAUCAUCACCAAAAGUUUGCAUUUAACAUCUCUGUUAAGCGCAAGAAGAAUAUUGUUACACAAGCAAGUAAUAUUGUUCCACAACUCCAUCAGGGUAAAGAGAAUAUAAGGAAUAAGUUUUUUGAUUGAUUAUGUCAUUCUCCCUUAAAAAUGCAUUUAAGAUUAAUCAAAACCACAUUAUUUUCAUAGUCCUCUCAAUUUGACUUAUAAAUAUAACUUGUAUGAUGUGAAUUUUUCAAGAACAUAUUCUUAUUUCUUGGCAAAUACUCUCUCACGAGAUAUUAUAUAUAUGUAGUAUCCAAAGAAUCAUUUUGGGAGUGAUUGGUUGUGGCUAUAGAUGCUCUAAACAGCCAAAAUUUAGUCUAAAACUAUAUAUAUCAACCAAUCGAGUUUUCCUUUCCUUAAAAAUCACAACAAAAAAAAUUACUACAAAAUGAAAAUAUGGCUGUAGAGAACUUUAUUUCCAGAGAAAAAAAUAGUGUUUUACAAAGUUACAGCAAAAUAAUCUACAUCAAAUAAAUCUACAGUUUAAAUUCUACACCCAAAAACAUAAAGCUACGACUCAUUCCAAUUACCCCUUUAUUUGGUUUCUCUCAACCAUAUUUACAUUAAAUCUACAAUAAUCAUAUCAGUGUUUAACCAAACUAGUACGAGAUUCCUCAUUGUUUUUGCAUUGGUAAUCUUUUUAUGACUCGCGUCAUAUAUUGAAUGUUUUGAUCAAUAUCAAUCAACAAGCAUUUUAUUUCCUAUGGCAAACAAUUCAUAGGGUAGCAGGACUCUCCAAAAUUUAUUUUGGGGCAUUGAUGAAUCUGUUUCCAUUCAUUCCACUUGAUCUCUUAAGGGUAAUAGUGUUGUUUAUAAUGGUUAAUAGUGUUGUUUAUAAUGUUGAUAGAUCCAGAGACUGGAGCAUGCUUUAGAAUCUGAAUCCGAAAAAAAAAUGGUGAUGACUGAUGACAGACGAGCAUGCUCCAGUCUCUGACACUGAAAGUGAGGCCAGCAAAGACCAGUGAAAUUGGGAAAGUAAACUAUAACUAAUUAGUGUUUGAUUUCGGUAAAAUGCAAAAUAUUGAAAAGCAGUUGUAUAUACGAAGAGGCAAAGGAUAAUAAAGAAGAGAAAUUACCUAACUAGGAGACAGCCUUUAACGUAACCAUCGCCGAACCACAGCCACAAUGUUCAUGCGAUUAUUUGAGGAGAGCGAACACCAGGAGGGCCACUUCAGUGGAACCACUGGAAAAGGAUGGAGGAAAAACGCAACUGAGCUGAAACCGAAGCUCCCAGCCGCAACCAAACACCCUGACACACCUAACGCGUAACCACCAGGGAACACAAAAGAAUGGACCUACGACUCCGCCUCCGUUGAAACCCCACGCGCUGCCAUCACCGGGGAACACUACGGCAGCAUCCCAAGCAGAGCAGAGGGAACAGAACUCACCAAGACCGGCGAGAACCAGAACCCUAGCCCAGUGACGGCCCUGAGCACAAGCGGCAGAAGCACAUGCUUCCGGCCCUGUUUAAAUUAUUUAAAUUUUCGGCCCAAAGUUACCAAAAUUUUCGGUAGUUCAGAUGGCUUACAAUGUGUUUUAGUGUGUAUUAGGUGGGGUGUUCGAAUCUUUCAAGCCACAAUUUCUUUUAGUCAAUUAAUAAUAGACUCAAAUUUUUAAUUUUGCUUCCAACCUUUAAAUUAUACGGGUCGGGUCUGCCCUAGCCUCGCACCGAACCCGAAAAUUAAGUUAAAAUUUUGCAACACUACAAUAUUUAUUGAUUGUAGAAUGCCGAAUACAAAUGUUUGUCUCUUGAAUGUAUCAUCGUUGUCGAAGAGUUAACAUAUUACAACUCAUUUUAAUUAUUUUAAAGACUUUAUAUGCAUAAAAAGAAAUUAAGUUUUUGGGGCUAACACAAAUCACCAAAAUCAAAUAGACAACAUCGAUUUUAAAAUGACGAAAUGAGAUUACUAUCGACUCUCCACGUGAUUUCAUUUUCUAUAUUUUUAAAAUAGUGUUUUUGUUCUUGUUUAUGUUUCACUGAUAUGAGUUUUGUUUCUUUUUUUUAGUUAUUAUGUGAAUUUGGUGAAUUACAUUGUCAAUUAAACAAGAUAGAUAUAUGUAAAAAUUAGUUCUAAUCCAGAUACAUAUGUCUAAAAAUCAAAAUUUUGAAGAAAAUCACCGGAAAACUUUUAGUGUUCAAAUCUAAUAUAUCAAAUUGUUAUAGAAUAUAAGUGCAUACUCGAAAUAUAAAUGUAUGUAUAGUGUAUAUUCACCAGUUCUGUCUAAAAAUCAUCUAAUUCUAUGACAAAAGAUACUUAUUUUAUUAACCUACUCUUUUGAGAUUUAGUUACUUAAGAAUAUACCGAUAAAAAUAUAUAUAAUACUUCAUUCUAGUAUAUGUAAACUAUUGUAUAAACAAAGAACUAUUUGAUUUAUUUGAUAAUAAACCAGAAAAUUUAUAAUAAAUAGUUCAAAUCUCUCAUUCUUACAAUUAUAAUAACUAGAUAUGGUAUUACGGAGAAACAAAUAUUAGACGAAUGAUCAAAUCUCUCAUUCUUCGAACAAACUCAAAAGCAAGUAAUUAAUUAGAAUAUUGUUAUGAUAUUUCGUUAAAAGAUUUUUAUGAAUAAAAAAUCAAGACUAAAUUAUUUAAUCUGAAUAAAAUCAUAUAUAUAUAGUGCUUCCAAUAUUAAAAAUCACUUCGAUUUGAAGAAGUGUAUUUAUGAGAUUGUCAAAAUCAAAUAACAUAUUAGAAACCACAUAUUUAAAAAAUAAUUUGUAUACAUAAAAUUAAAUACAUUAUAAUAAGUAUAUAAAUCAAAAUCAAUACCUUUCUUUUAUUACAACCUAUGUUUCUGGUAAAUAAAUCAAAAAAAUCAUUUUAUUUACUUUAUAUGGUAUAUAAUUAAACUUUAGUGAUAUUGACAUAUAUAUAAUAUUUUAAUAUAAAUAUUUAUUAUUGACACUUCAUACUCAUAUAAUUUUAUUAACAUUUUUAUAUUUGAUGUGACAAAAAUUUAAACCGUUAAUCACAAAAAAUAUUUAUGUGAAAUUUUUCAAUACAAAUUUCAAAAUUAAAAUACUAAUAUCUCAAUAAUGUUUCAAUUCAAAAUUUGAAAUUAACAUAUUUAUAUAUUUUCAUAUAGUAAACAAUUUAAUUUUAAUGAUAUGUAUAUAUAUUAUGAACAUCAACUAAUGAGACUUCAUAUUCAUAUGAUUUAUGAUCAUUUGUAUCUUACUUGAACAAAAAACUAUUGAUCACAAAUUUUCAGUGUGAGACUUUUACUAUUUUUAGUAGUUUACAGUCGUUUUAUAAUAUCAAAAAUAACAUAUAGGAGAAAAAAAAAUAUAAUUUUGUUAUUAUAUGCUUAAUAUGAUUGUUUAAUUUAUUUUAAUAAUAUAAAAUUAAAAAAGAGAUAUGAUACAAAAAUAAUUAUCAAAUAUGUAUGAUUCAUAAUCAUUAAUUGUCAUAUAUAUAUGUUAAUCAUAUUGGAUAAUUCCAUAGCUUUUAUUUAAGAAAAAAAUUGAGAAUAUUCUUUUGUACACUACUAAUCAAUUUGAGAGUUAAUUUAAUAAAAAAAUGUAAUAUAUAUAUAUUUAUAUGGACCAACUUAUUUUCUAAGGAUUUUAAGAAUCAUCUUAGUGAUGACACGUGGUUACGAAAAGAUGUUGUAAUGCUUCAGAAUUAAUAUAUACGAGAUGUUUGAAUUUAUAUUAUUUAUUAUUUUAUAAGUAAUAGUGAUAUCAUUGGGGUCCCAAAAUUAAAUUUGUAAUCAACAAGUUUAUUUAUUAUCAAAGUAAAAGCGUACUGGAUAAAGGUUAUAUUGUAGUCUUUUUUUUUUACCUAAAGAAAUAUAUUGUAAUCUUACUUUAAUCUUAGGGAAAAUUGCCAAAUAUGACUCACAACUUGAUUUCAAAUGCAAAAUAAACUCAAAUUUGAAUCAAAUGCAAAACUAACCUAAAAUGCUAUUGAAAUUACAACCAGCCCCUUGUGAACAAACAAAAAAACCAAUUUUUUUUUUACGUUUCUAACCCCCGUAAGUCGUCUGUCCAGACGACUUUCCAGUAAGUCGUCCUGGACUAGUUCUACUUAGAAAUAAUUUAAAAUUUUUGUAAAAAAUAUUUUGAUAAGUAAAAAAUUGAAAUCAUGUAAUUAACAUAUGUUUUAAGAGAUAUAAAUUAAGAUAUAACAAAAGUUAAUUGUUUUCAACAUAGAUGAGUGAAAGUAGUGAGUCAUGAUAUUCUUUGGUUUAGGUUUUGCCAACAUAUGUUGUAGUAUUGUAUGUGUUCUUAGGGUUAGAUUUUGGAAUGCAUAAAUGUUUUUUUGAAAACUUUAAAAUUUACCUAAGUGUGUUUAUUUCUGUGUAUAGUAAACACUAUUUAAGUAUAACUACGGCUUUAUAACGUGGUUAGUUAGUUAAUUUAGUCAAUUUAGUUUAGGCGUUAAAUUUAGGGUCUGGGACGACUUACUAGUAAGUCGUCCAAACCGGACCGAACCUUUAAUUUUUCAAUGUACUUUUAAACCUAACCGGAUUAUUUACCAGACAUAUAUAAGGUGUUUUUUUCUAUUCACUGUUUCGCGAAAUUCAGAAAACCCUAACGCCGUUUCUCUCAAAGGCGAUUUCGAAGGCGAUUUUCGUCGAUUUUCGUCGAUUCUCUCUAAUCCAUCAUUCUCACCGCCGGUUAUCUCUACGCCGUUAUCACCGUAGUUCUCACCACCGUUCUCACAGCCGCUUCCUCUAUAUAAGAUCUGAGAGGAAACCCUAGCGCACAUUCUCUCAGAGGCGUCUCGUUGAACUCCGCCGCCGAUAAAUUAUAUCUCUUACUGUCGAGUGAUUGAUUGAGGAAAAGAUGAACAUAAAACAUUGUCUCUAUCAAUUUAUACACUCGUUCUUUUUUUCACGUCUAUUUUUGCAGAUAUAUAACCGCUAUGUCGAAGGCGACUAUAUCUUCUCCGAAUUUUCAGGUCGGCUUUAAAAUGUUAUACUGGAAGUCUUGGAAGACUUAUAAUUAAGUCGUCUGCAAAGUCUUCCAGCUGGAAGACUUUCCAGACGACUUAAUUAUAAGUCUUUCAGCUGGAAAACUUGCCAGACGACUUAAUUAUAAGUCUUUGAUUGUUUUGAGAUGGUUGACUUAAUUAUAAGUCUUUGAUUGUUUUGAGAUGGUUAUCUUUGAUUGUUUUGCAGGAAAAAAAAUUGAUAUACCAGAACUCCCCCGUAGGAUACAUACAUUAGGGGAAGAGCCCGCCGCAGUGCAUAGCAUUUCAUAUCAUACUUGUUGGACGUUGCAUACUGCUUUAAAGAAAGCUCUUCAUGUUGACGAAUAUGAAGAGCUGAAGGAGUUGAAGUUGGGAGUUUUCAUCAAGUUCCAAGAGCUGGGAUUUGAUUGGGCUUCAAGGCUGGUUCACUACAUGCUCGGUUUCCAGCUGGACAUAAAGAAGAAGUAUGAGCUGUGGAGACUCGUUGGUCCAGAACCUGUGAGGUUUUCACUGUUAGAGUUUGAAAACCUCACUGGUCUAAACUGCGAGUACAUCGAGGACCUUGAGAGACCUCACUGUGUUGUUUCAAAGGAGUUGACUUCUUUCUGGGAGAUGUUGGGAGUUCAUGUCGAAGCUGGGCCAUAUACUCAGGAGAUAAUAGCAGCAUUUGAGAGAUGCAAAGGGUGGUCUCGGGAUUAUCGCAAGCGGCUCGCGUACCUUGCCAUCUUCAUUGGAUACAUUGAAGGGAGAAAGUAUUCAACCCCUACACGGGUUAGUCUGGCAAGGCUAGUGAUGGAGCUAGAACGGUUUGAGAAUUAUCCAUGGGGGAGAGUCGCGUUUAAGGUGCUGAUGGACUCUGUGAAGGGCAUAGAUAUUUUGGGUUGUUACACUAUUAAUGGGUUUGCGCAAGCUCUCCAGGUCUGGGUGUACACAGCUCUGCCGGAAUUGGGUGCUAAUUAUGGUAAUCCUCUCCCAAACAAUCUGUAUCCACCGAUACUGGCUUACAAGGGUCACAAAGGACGCAUACAGUUUAAAGAGGCUAUCCUCAGUCAGGUAUUUACUUAAAUCUGGACGACUUCUCAUAAAACUUAUAAUUAAGUCGUCUGAUAAGUCUUCCAACUGGACGACUUAGUAGAAGACUUAUAAUUAAGUCGUCUGGAAAGUCUUCCAGCUGGAUGACUUAGUAGAAGACUUAUAAUUAAGUCGUCUGGAAAGACUAUCCUGACUACUUAAUUAUAAGUCUUCUACUAAGUCUUCCAGCUGGAAGACUUUCCAGACGACUUAAUUAUAAGUCGUCCAGCUGGAAGGCUUUCCAGACGACUUAAUUAUAAGUCGUCUGCGAAGUCUUUUCUUUCCAUCUUUCUUAAUCUGUCAAAUAUCUAAGUUCAUAUCUUCUAUUUACUGCAGACGAGGGUGAUCAACUUUGUUCAGAAGGACAUUGGUGAAAUGUUUCCAAAAUGGGAGUUUGAUGUUGAGGACACGCCCGCGGAGAACAUAAUUAAACUCAUGUUUGUGAAGAAACCGUGGAAGUGGACCAUGGAUUGCUGGGAAGUCACCGGUACUUGGGUCAAUACAAAGCCGGCGGUUGUGAGUCCAGCGAAGAAAAAAGUAGUGAAAGAAGACAGUCCAAGACCUCGGAAGAAAGCUCGUAAAGAGGCUAGUGAAGAGGCUAGUGAAAAGGCUAGUGAAGAGGCAGCUGCAGUGGCUAGUGAAGAGGCAGCUGCAGAGGCUAUUGAAGAGGUUCAUACGACUGUUGGUGGGUUGACCAAAGAGGAUAUUAAAAUCAUGUUCAAGGACAUAGUUGAUGCCAUGAGGGAAUGGUUUGGGACGUGCCUUAAGGAGAUCAAGUAUCUGUCGGAAAGGGUGGAAGCUGUGGAGAAGAAGGUUGGUAUCACCACAAAACGGAAAGGGACAUCAGCUCAAAACACUACCCCUCCACGUAAACCGACGCUCGAACCCGGGGUUAGUAACGAAUCCUCUCCCAACAAGAGAUUGACUAGACAAAGUCUUAAGAAUAAGAACUGAAAAAUUGCAUUUGCUUUGUUUCUUGUAUGUCAGAACAUGUGUGCUUUUUUUAUAGUGUAUGAAAUGGAUCUUUGGACAAAGUCAUUGGUUAUUAUUGUUUGAAAUGGAUCUUUGGUUAUUAUUGUAUAAACCCAUCUUGUAUAUUGCAGAAUGAAAGUGUUAAUGGGACGAACGCGGGAAGGAAGAGCUUGCCGGAGGAUAAAGGUCCAGAUGUGCACGCAGAUGCUAGUUCCUCGAAAGAUAAAGCUCCAGAACCGAGCCUUGUUCUAUUGAAAAAAAAUCAAUCCACUGUUUCGGAUUUACAGAAGGAGGAUGCUAGAUAUCUGGAAAAGAGGGAUGCUGCUUUGGCACUUUGCCGUGCAAAGAGUGAUCGAACAAGGAAACUUGCUGCCUCACAGCAAUCUCCUUAUACGGCAAACAGCACGGCCAAAGUGAUCAUUCCAAACAAAAAGCUUUAUCGAGGCUAUAAUCCUUUUGCACUAAUUGACAAGAAGAAGUUGAAGGAGCUUGCUGAUUAGUUGAAAACUUGUCCGUAAGUGUUUGCUUUUCCCAUAAUAGCUUGCUUUAGUCUACAAAAACUGAUUGCUUUUCAACAUUUUAUGUUUGCAAUCAUUAUAGAACAUCUCUCGAUAAAAAACCACGUACAAGUAGAACUUGGUGGUAUCAAAUCCUCCGGACCUCCUUAGAGUGGUUGGAGGACUGUGUAAGUCUUCUGCUAUGACUUAGAUGACUUACUCAUAAGUCUUUUUGUAGACGAGUUACCAAUAAGUCGUCUACGUAGAAGACUUACCAGACGACUUACCAGACGACUUACCAGUAAGUCGUCUGAUAUCUUCUGACUUGUACCCUAUUUUAUAUGCAGCAUAUUGAUGCUUGGAUUAAUGUCCUGAGGAAGAGGUACGACGCUAACCCACAACAUUUCAGGAGCGAGAGAAUGUGCUUCCUUGAUCAUCUCUUUGCUCGGCAAUGGAGAUUCAACUACAAGGAUUUUAAGGACUCGGAGCCCGAUCCAAACGGUUUAGGAAGAAGACUCCCUGGUGGGGCGUGGAAUUAUUAUGCAGGCACUAUACCAUCAUUUUGCCAAUCGAACAAGGUUUGGGGGACGAAUAUUUAUGAUGUCUAUGCGCCAGUGAACUUCAACGACACUCAUUGGAUUGCUAUGUGGAUAUCGAUCCCUAAGAGGCACAUAGUCGUCUGGGAUAGCAUUUGUUCCAGUAUCUCCCCAGGAGAACUCGAUGUGGUAAUGGAGCCUUUUCUCUACAUGGUCCCUUAUCUGCUUGUUGAGUGCGCUUCCUCAGACAAACAAUGUGCCCAAUACAGCCUGGAGCCAUUCACAUAUGAGAGACCGACCAAUAUACCUUCGGCCCGAGCUGGUGAUUGUGGCGUGUACUCUCUAAAGUACAUUGAAUGUCAUGCUCUUGGGAUAGAGUUUAGUAAAAAAGAAUUUGCUAAGCCCAACGGGAAGACUAUCAGGGAUAAGAUGGCGGUGGAUAUAUUUCAAGAGCUUCCUGGCGCGCAUGAGUUCGAAAACAAGGACAAUGAUGCCAACCUGGGUGCGUAUGAGGGGUGAUAAACAGGUUACGUUAGAUUAUUUGUAUGAUAGAUUAGGCUGAUGUGUGUAUUUGAACUUGAUCCAUAUUUUGUAACCUAUAAGUAUUCUGGAAAACCUUAUGUGCAGUGACCUUUUGUAACCUUUCAGAUAAUAUAAAGGGCAAGACCUUCUUAAAUUUGUUUGGUAGUGCAAUUUGACAAAGAAGUUGAUACAGAUAAGUUCAUAACACAAAUUUUUAAUACAUAGACUAAACACUGGACGACUAACUGGACGACCUUCUGGACGACUUACUUGAAGGUCUUCUGGAAGAAAAAACCCUGGACGACUAACUGGACGACCUUGUGGACGACUUACUUGAAGGUCGUCCACGUCAUUUCUUACAUUGUGGUUUCGUAUGGCCAGUUUCUUUGCAUUUUGAGCAUCUAUAAUGCCAACCUGGGUGCGUAUGAGGGGUGAUAAACAGGCUACGUUAGAUUAUUUGUAUGAUAGAUUAGGCUGAUGUGUGUAUUUGAACUUGAUCCCUAUUUUGUAACAUAUAAGUAGUCUGGAAAGUCUUAUGUGCAGUGACCUUUUGUAACCUUUCGGAUAAUAUAAAGGGCAAGACCUUCUUAAAUUUGUUUGGUAGUGCAAUUUGACAAAGAAGUUGACAUAGAUAAGUUUAUAACACAAAUUUUUAAUACAUAGACUAAACACUGGACGACUAACUGGACGACCUUCUGGAUGACUUACUUGAAGGUCUUCUGGAAGAAAAAACCCUGGACGACUAACUUGAAGGUCUUCUGGAAGAAAAAACCCUAGACGACUAACUUUAAGGUCUUCUGGACGACUUACUUUAAGGUCUUCUGGAUUUCUUCUGUCUUCCCGGACCACGAUAAGUUCAUAACACAAAUUUUUAAUAUAUAGACUAAACACUGGACGACUAACUGGACGACCUUCUGGACGACUUACUUGAAGGUCUUCUGGAAGACUAAACACUGGACAACUAACUUGAAAGUCUUCUGGAAGAAAAAAACCCUGGACGACUAACUAGACGACCUUCUGGACGACUUACUUGAAGGUCGUCCACGUCAUUUCUUACAUUGUGGUUUCGUAUGGCCAGUUUCCUUGCAUUUUGAGCAUCUAUAAACCCUGUGUUGCUUCUGGGGUUUGCGUCCUCUCAUCCUGGAUAGCUCCAACCAAGAUUGUCUUGAUUUCUUCUGUCUUCCCGAACCACGCUUUACAUCCGGAGGAAAGCAUGUGCGUUCCUCAACUUGUUGUCCAACACAAGGAUAUAUAUUCUCUGAGUAUCCUGCAAAUAGAAAAUCCUUUGAGUACACUGGACAUACAAGUGUGGAGAUAUGCAAACCAACAGAUGUUCCAACAGCUAUAGCAUGAGGGCAAGGUAUUUUCUCCACUGCAUAGACACCACAAUCACACUUUCCAUGUUCCAAAUCAACCACACAGUCCAUUUUGCCACCUUUCACAAAGAAUCGCCAUCCAUCAAUUGGUUGUACCGUCAUCGUUUCCGCUAUCUCCGAUCGAACAACAAGCAAGUAUUCAACACCUCGACUAUGUUGAGUUGGGAGACUCAAAGCAUCUUCUCUCCUUUUCCAAAACCACUUUCCUAGCUUCUCCCUUAUGAACUCCAACAGGAACUGAACCGGAAAUCCUCUAGCUCACUUCAGAGCGGAAUUAAUAGAUUCAGCGAUGUUGCUUGUCUUUAUGUUGUACAUGUCCCCCUGAAAAUAAACCCUUGACCAUAGGCUGACGUCGGCAUUCGCCAAAUACGUUGCAAGGUCCGGGUUUGCACUCCGUAUCUCAGCCAUGUACCGGUCAAAAUAUGAAACCGUAUGAGCAUAAGCAGCACCUUUCACCAAGUACAAGAGAUGUUUUCCUUUAUACUUUUUGACAAUGUUAUCUUGAAGGUGAUAAUAACAUAUUCCUCGGGUUGCCCAAGGAAACACCUUAUCACAUGUACUUUUAAUGGCCGUGUGCCGGUCGGAGACUAUCACCAGAGGCUGCUCAUCAGAUACACAACUAGCCAAUUUUGUGAAAAAUCAUUCCCAAGAAGGUUCAUCUUCAGCAUCUACGAUCCCAAAAGCCAAUGGAAAUAUCUGAAAAUUUCCAUCUUGUGCGGCUGCAACUAACAUAACACCUCCAUACUUCCCACUUAGGUGAGUCUCAUCCACCACAAUGACCCUUCUCUGAUACUUAAAACCUUUGAUAGAAGCUCCAAAAGAGAGAAAUAGAUACUUAAAUCUAUUGAUAGAAUCAAGUUCUAUAGCCGUGAUAGAAUCGAGAUUUGCUAAGGAGAUUUGCUCGAGAUAUGAUGGCAGACGCGAAUACCCAUCUUCUGCUGAUCCUCUCACCAAUGUUUGUGCAUAUAAAAGUGCUCUGUAUGAAGUGGUGUAAUCAAGCGUCAUGCAAAACAUGUUCUUCAUUGCAUCAGUGAUAUGUUGCGGAUUCAAACCAUCAAUUAUUCCAACACGAUCAAUGAAAAGCCUACCAACAUACUUCGGAGUACAGUGUCUCCGCUGAGCGAGUCGAUCUCCCACUGAGCAUGUAUGCUUUUCCACAUACUUUGUUACCCAAAACGUGUUUGUCCCAUGUUUCACACUCGCUCUAAUCUUCCGUUGACAACCACUAACCGGACAUGUUGUCACAAGGAGAGUUUUCGUUGACUUGUAUAUUCUGAAGGAGAACCUAAACCUCACUGCUGUCAACCGCAGCUCUGAAAGCAGUGCAUCUUUGCUAACAAAACUCUGGUUGACAUAGAUAUUGUUACCAUUCGAUCUUCCUGCUUCAAUCUUUUUGAAAUCUUCAAAACACAUAUCAUCAUCUUCCUCAUCCUCAUCUUCAACCUUUCCAUAAACACUGUAAUCCUCACCAUUCUCGUCCGCUUCAGCAACAAUAUAGAUAUCAUCCUCCUCCUCCCCAUCAUCCUCCUCCCCAUCAUGAUUUUCAUCUUCAACAAAAUCAUCAUCAUCAUAUUCAAAACAUUCAUCAGCUUCAUCAUCUUCUUCCCUGAACUCUGAAACCGUUUCCACCUUGCUACGGCUUGAUACACAAAGCCGUACUCCAUGCGUUUUGGUUAUCUCGAGCAAGUUUCGAACUUGUCUAUCACUUGUAACAUGAAUAGGAAGGGUGUUUGGAGCCAGCAUCAUUUCUGCUGGUAAUGAGUAGGUUAUCUCCACAGAUUAUGUGCUCAUGUCCAGGUUAUAAUCUUCUUGAGCCAUUGCAAGAAGUUCAGCAUGUGUCGAACUUUCUCCCAAAAAAUGAUUCUCGCUCCUUUGACAUUAUCAACCACAAAAUUCCAACGGCACUCUUUCAACAACCAUUAUCCAUACACUGCAUGUAACUGACGCAUCAUCUACAAAAAUUCAAAAUAAAACACAUUAGUAAACAUAGAGAAAAUGAAAGUUUACUAAACAUUGACGCAGACGACAUACCAGUAAGUCAUCUGGAAGACUUACCAGUAAGUCGUCCAAACAGGUCAUUUUUGCAAUUGAAUUUUAAAUUGGAAGACUUACUUGUAAGUCGUCCAGCUUUGUUUGUUAAAAAAAAAACUCUAGACAACUUACCAGUAAGUCGUUUAGGAUAAAACGGGUUAGUUUUGCAUUUGACCGAAUUGUGUCAGAUAUUUGACUUUUCCUGGACGACUUACCAGUAAGUCGUCUCUGGGUAAACAAAAAUUUCAAUAUUUUAUUAAAGUUAGACGACUUAUUUGUAAGUCUUCUCAGGUUAGUUUGCAAUUCGAAAAAGAAACUUAAAUGUUUAACUUUACCCAGACGACUUACUUGAAAGUCGUCCAGGUAGACGACUUACGAGAAAGUCGUCCGAGAUAAGCAAGGUUUGACCAGAAUAUAGGAAAUAAAUCUGGACGACUUUGCUUAUCCUGGACGACUUUCAAGUAAGUCGGACGACUUUCAAGUAAGUCAUCUUACUUGACGACUUCCGCGUAAGUCGUAUGGGAAAAGUUAAAUAUUUAAGUUUUAUUUUCCACUUCCAAAAGUAACAUGAGACGACUUGCAGAUAAGUCGUCUAGCUUUAAUAAAAUAUUGAAAUUUUUGUUUUCCCGGAGACGACUUACUGAUAAGUCGUCCAGGAAAAGUCAAAUAUCUAACACAAUUCGGUCAAAUGCAAAACUAAGUCGUCUAGGGUAUUCUCUAGAUUUUUUUUUUAACAAACAAAGAUAACGACUUACAAGUAAGUCGUCCGUUUGACCAGAAGACUUACCCGUAAGUCUUCUACAGCCAGACUACUUACAGGUAAAUCUUCUACGCGAACAGAUCUGGAAAAAAUUUCAAUUUCAUACCUUAAACUAGUGAGAUGACUUCGUUAGCACACAAAGUCUUCUCCAACCACUCAGAACCUCAAACGAAAGUAACCCACCAAGAAUAGUAUGCUUGAAUGGCUCUAUCAACCAUAAAAAAAUUUGAAUCAAAAGCUUGAGUUUUUGGGAUGAAUAUGGAGUUAAAGUGAAAGAGAUGUUGUUUUUGGUUCAUAACAAGUGAGAAAGAGAGUGUGUAAAUCGAUUUGAGGUGCAUUAGGAGCUUCAAAUUGGUUGUUCAUGGUGGUUGGUGCAUUGAUUGUAAUGGCAAUCUUGUAAAUACUUGAAGAUGAUGAGGUUGAGAGAGUAAAAAUGCAAUUUUCGAAAAAAAAAGAAAAAAAAAACUAAUGGCAUUUUCGUGAAUAAUAUGAACUUGUGAGGUGAAUAGGACAAAAGAAAAAUCCAAGAAAAGCAUGGGUUAAUUUUAGGUUUGACUUUGAGUUUUGAGUCAAUCUUGCAAAAAGCCUUAAUCUUAUCAAAUUAUUAUUGCCUUUUUCAAAUAUAGAAAUUUACUGUAUGGUUUUAUAAUAGAUCUUUUUAAGUUUUUUUCAUAGAAAAGAUUUCCAAAGAGGAAAAUAACCAAAAAUUUUCAUUUAAGUGGCAAAAGACACUUAUAUCCUAGAUAGGUAAAUAAAAUAAAAUGAUAAAUCCUCAACAAUCAUGUCUUGAUGAUCACAGGAACCAGUUCUUAUUACUCUCUACAUAUGUGUCUUGCUUAGAAGUGCAUUAGGAUUCCUUAGCCGAAUUAUAUGUUUUCAAAUUCGAACUUUUUAUAAUUUUUUUUGUUUUGAUUUUUUUUUCAAAUUUUCGUUUUGAAAUUCGAAAAAUGCUUUUGAAACUAUUUUUUUUUUCAAAUUUUUAAUAUUUAUUCUUUAUUUUAUAAAAAUUUAAAUUUCAAUCCUAAAACCCAACUUUUAACCCUAAACCCUAAGGUUUAAAUCAGUUAACCCUAAGAGUAUAAUUGUAUAUUUACCUUUUAAUUAAAAUAUUUUGAUCAAUUUGAUCAUUAUCUCUAUAAUAUUAUUUUAUCUGAGAAUUCAGUUUCCUACGCGUUAUUUACAGAAGUACCCUUAAUGAAUUUAAAAUAUUAAAUUUAAAUACUAUUAGUAAAAUUUUAUUUAGUUUCCUUUUUACCUUUUACAAAUAACAUAUAUAAUAAAAAACAUUUAAAAAGUUUAAAACGGAUUUAAAAACGAAAAUAUAUGUAUAUAUAAUAUGAUUCUAUUAAAAAGAAAAUUUCACAAAAUAAUAAUAUUCCAUUUAAACAUAUUUUUACAUAACAAAAAUAUACUUUCAAAGUAAUAAAAAUACUUACUGUAUAUAUUUGUUUUUCUUAGAUGAAAACAAAAAUAUAAAUGACAAUAAAAACAAAAAUAUAUUUUAUAUAAUGUGAUUUCAUAAAAAACAAAGUUCACAAAGAUAUUUUUGAUAUUAAAAAAAUAAAUAUUAUUCCUUUAAAACUUACUUUAUAUAAUAUAAAAUAAAUAUAUUUUUUUAAGUAAUAGAAAUAUUUCUUUAUAUCUAUCUAUUUUCUUAGAUGAUUACUUAAAAAUAAUUAAAUAACAUUUUAGGAGAAAUUACGGGUAUGAAUGGUGACCGGGGAAUGAUGGGGAAUAAUGCAUUCCCUAACGUUCCUAUAAAAAAUCACCAUUCAAAAGGAAUAAUAAUUCAUUUUCAUUCCCUUUCGUUCCUGUUUUUGUAGAGAAUUCAUUUUCAUUCCCUUUCGUUCCUGUUUUUGUAGAGAAUUAAAGGAUAAAAUUAUUCAUCAACACUAAACCCUAAACCCUAAAAAAAUUAACCCUAAACCCUAAAACAUCAACUCUAAAAACCCUAAACCCUAAAUCUUCAACUCUAAACCCUAAACUCUAAACCCUAAAUUUUAAACCCUGAACCCUAGAGUUGAUGUUUUAGGGUUUAGAUUCGAAGGUUUAGGGUUUUCGGGUUUAGGGUUUACGUUUAGUAUUUAGAGUUGAUGUUUUAAGGUUUAGAUUUGAAGGUUUAGGAUUUAAGGGUUUAGGGUUUGAAUUUCAGAAAAAUAUAGGGUUUAGGGUUUCAAAUCUAAACCCUAAACUUUCAAAUCUAAACCCUAAAACAUCAACUCUAAACCCUAAACAUAAACCCUAAACCCUAAAUCUAAACUUAAAACAUCAACUUUAAACCCUAAAUCAUCAACUUUUAACCCUAAACCCCGAAACAUCAACUCUAAACCCUAAACCUUAAACCUUCAAAUCUAAACCCUAAAACAUCAACCCUAACUUUAUUAGAAAUAAAACUAAUUUGAUUUGACUUUAUUAGAAUCAAAAUAAUUAUACUUGAGUUUGAAUUGAAAAGAAUAUAUGUAACUCAAUAUACUCACAACAUGAGUGAAUCAACUAAUCCAACUUAUAUCCGAAAUGAAAAAUCUUGCUACAAUAAAAUAUAAUUCAAUAAUAAGAAUCUAUUUAUUUUUAUGCAUAUAAAUUACAUGACGACUCAAAACAUAUUAAUAAAUAUAAAAAAGUUAACUAAUUGUUACAAUAUAGUUUUAUAUAUAUGUGUGAGACUUCAUAAUAUUAUCAUUAUAUUUAUUUAUGUAAUUUUGAAUCAAACACUUCACUUUAUUUUUUAUUUAAUUCUAAGCACAAUAUCUAUUACAUUUAUACAAAAUCUUGCUAAAAUAUAUUUAUAUAUCUAAGAAAUUAGCUAUAUUUAGAAUAAAAUAUUAUAGCUGAAUUCAGAGAAAUAGAUGCAAUUCAAUAUACACAAGUUAUAGACAAAUCGAUUGUUGACCCAAAAACAACCAAACAGAGGUGAUAUAACAUGUCCAAAACCAUAUGUCUAAUUAAAAUAAUAUAAUAUUAUUAAUAUAAAUCUAUAAAAAUAAAUUAUAAAUUGAUUUAAAAUCAAAAGUAAAUAUCAAUUAAUUAUAGUACAUUAAUUUUAUAAAUAUUUAUGCCCGUGCAUGAGCACAGGAGAAUCACCUAGUAUAUUAUAUUUGUUACAAAAAAAAAAUAGUGUUAUGCAAAGGUAUUUCUCUUUAUAAUAUCAAGGUGCAGGUAUUUCUCUUUAUAAUAUCAAGCUGCAACCCAAAUUCUCUUUUAAUUUCUAACUUAUUAUAAGAUAUUUGAUAAUAUUCUAAGGAGAGAAUUUUGUUUAGUAAACUAAAAAGAAAAAAGGAGAAUCACAAUGGAAAAAAAAAGGAAAUAGGAAACAAAAAUUCAAAUGUCGAAUAGAAAAGGAAACCCCUAAAUUGUUACAAAAAAAAAAGAAAAGGAAAACCCUAAAAUAUAUAUUCUUAUAUAUACUAACCGAAGGGUGCCAAAACAAAGCAAAAAACAAAGAAAAAACAAUCAAACGAUGGAGGAGAAUGGGGAGGCCGGUCCUGCUAGCUCGUCCGAUUUCUCGAGUGCAUUGCCGGCAGAGAUACAAUCUAAAACUUGAAGCGGGAAAGACAAAGUUAGGAGCGAUUCUUGAGAUGUCCAUAGUUGAAGAGGGACGUGGAUCCCGUAAGGGUUGUGCAAGGACACGGGUCUAUCUCUCGAUUCCUGUUAUCGAAGGGCGUUCAAGACAAGUCAUACUUGAAACUUUGACGACAUCAGGAAUAAGCGAGGAAGAUGGAAAAUUCAUAGUAUCGUCCAUGAAUUGUCUUUAUAAUGAACUCAUUCUCUUCAAGUGUCGGUCAGGUGGAUUGUUAACGCUGUAUAUGAAUGUCUUGGUGAGGGUUGAUCACUAUCACAACAUUCGCAGGGGCAUCAAAAUCGAUCAGGACCAUCGGAUCAUCAAGGCUGAUCAAUACGACGGAGUUUGGGACUCCGACUCUAUCGUAGUUGAUCAUGAGGAGGGCUGGAAGCAUGUCGCCCGGAUUUAUAUGGAUGACGACAAAACCCUAAGGUAUACCUUUCCCCGGGCUGAUAUAUAUUGCCAUUCAUCAAAUACACUUUGAGCCUGCGAGUGAGAGUGCAGUAAGAAGUUUAAAGAUAUCACGGAUAGAGGAGAAGAUCUGUUGCGCAAUCUGUUUAGAAGACUUGCCGGUUGGGUCAGCUGCCUCUAGUUUGCCAUGUCAGCAUCACUUCCACACCGGAUGCAUCUUGGAAUGGCUCAAGAACAGCCGCUUUUGCCCCACUUGUCGUUUAGUCUUACCUGCCAAAGAAAGAAUUUUCUCAAAUAUAUAAAACUUUUCCAAAUUUAAUUAUUAACAUAGACACACAAUCAUAUUGAACGGGUUUAUGUCAAUAUCUGAGCACCACACGUUUGAUUGCAACUAUAAUAGGAGACUUUUGAAUCCCUGAUUCUGUGACUCAAAACUUUUUUUUUUCCGUGACUUGAACUCGACGCUACAUUAUGAAAUAAGCUGUAUAAGUAAUUCCAAAAGAUAAAUAACGCAGCUCAAUAAACCAUGCAUUAACACAACUAUCAAUCAAAUCAGAAUUUUCACUGAAUCUAUUACCAGUUUUAGUUUUUGCAAAUCAGAACAUAAGGACACCUAUAGUAAUGGUCUCUCAUCAUUGCUUCUUACGAAAAAUAUUAGUAAAAAAAUAAAAAGUGGGAGAGAGAAGGCAGAAAACAUCAAAAUCAUUAUUGUUAGAGUUGGUUAUAUGUUUACAUUCCCCUAUUGUACUCGACAUCAUCUUCUGUUUCUUCCACAUCAUAAUUCAACACCCAUUCAAUUUUUAUUCUCUAUAAGACUAUGUACAAUAGUUUCAACAUCUUCCAAUUUAUCUUUUAACACUCCAUGUCAUCUUCUCUUUCUUACACAUCAUCAUUCAACAUACAUUCAACUUUUAUCCACUACAAUGGUUUUGUUGACUAAUAUUCAACAUUCUAUUUUAUUAAUUAAUAAAUUUUUUUCUAUAUCCAAAUUACAUAAAUCUAGUCUCUAUUUAUAGAUAAUGUAAAAUGAUAAAUUUUAGUAUAAGAAAUAAAAAUAAAUUAUUUAAUUUAUAAUGAGAUUAAUUAGUUUCAAUUAACUAAGAGAAUAUUAUAAUAUCAAAAAUCAUUAGAAAGUGCAUGUGUCGUCGGUGGUCUCUGCUUUCUUCUUAUUCAACAUGUUGAAUCUUUUCAACACCAAUUAAUCCACAUCAUCUAAUUUUAUUUUUCAACACCUUCAUUGUAGGGAUUCAAUUGUUGAAUAUUUUAUUCAAUACCCCAAUUAUACAUAUAGUCUAAUGGUUUUGUUUUAAAAAAAAUUACAACACCUUACCCUACUAAUUUUGUUUAUACUCUUAUUUAAUUUUAUGUUUUGGGUGUUAAAAGGAUAUUAUUGGAAUUCAUUUCACUAAAAAGAUUUUUAAUGAUAAAACAAAAAUUUAGUAGGAGCUAAUAACAAAAAUAUAGUAAAAAAGAUGAGUUUUUUUUUCCGUGUCCAAAUGAAAUGAAACGAGUCUCUAUUUAUAAAGAAUGAAAAUUGAUGAAUUUUGAUAUAAAACGGGUUCAUAAUUUAAUUAUUUUUAUAGAAUAUGUGAUUUAAUGAUUUAAUAUGUAUUAGUUUAUUUUAAAUAGAUAAUUUAUAGUUGUUAUAAUGAAAUAAUAUUAUAUUUUAUUACAGUUUGCAAGAUUUUUAUCUUCAGCAGAAUAUGAAUACGUAGCUAUAAGACAAAUAUAAUCAUCUAGAUAUAUAUAUCUUAAAGUUUCUGCAAAUUAUCUAAACUUAUAGAUAUUUGAUUAGAAUUAGUAAGUAAUAUAUUAUAUUUAAUAUAAAAGUAAACAAAUAUAUCAAUGUCUUGAGAAUGUUUAAGGGAUCUCUUAUAAUAUAUUUCAGAAUGUAUUAAAAUUAAUCUUAUAUUUUUGAUUAAUUUUGUGUACAAUUAAAUUUAUGCCUAAUAAUUAAGAGUUAUUCUUGAGUUCACCCCUUAGGGUGAACCUCUAGGUUCACCAUCCAAUAGGAUUUAGUUAUUUCAUAUUUGACAUCUUUUAAAAAAAGAAACAAAAUAUUGUCAAAUUGUAUUAUGUUUUAAUAAUAAAAAGGUAAAAAAUAAAUUAAAAUAAUAGUAAUUGAAAAAAAAAACGAACUAAAAAAAAACUAUUUUUAACAUCGUCAACUAAACACUAAACCCUUGGGUAAACCCUAAACCAUUGGAUAAAUCUUAAAUUCUAAAUCAAAAACACUAAACACUAAACACACUAAACCCUAAACCCUAAACCCUAAACCCUAAACCCUAAACCCUUUGGUAAACCCUAAAUCAUUGGAUAAAUCCUAAACUCUAAUUCAAAAAAAUUAAACACUAAUACACUAAACUCCAAACCCUAAAUCCUAAACCCUAAACUCUAAAUCCUAAACUCUUGAGUGUUUUAGUGUUUAGUUUUUUAUUUAGAGUUUAGGAUUUAUCCAAGGGUUUAGGGUUUAGGAUUUACCCAAUAGUUUAGAUUUUAGAGUUUAGGG
rnacentral:lncRNA from 1 species